rnacentral:lncRNA from 1 species
UCGCUUUGCUGUCCGGGACAUGAGGCAAACGGUGGCUGUUGGAGUCAUCAAGAGCGUGGAGAAGAAGGACCCAACUGGAGCCAAGGUGACCAAGGCUGCCGCUAAGAAGAAAUGAGGUGUCUGCUAGCUGGUUCUGUGUUUUCUCGAGGGAUACCUAGUUGAAACUUAAUAUAUCGUCAUUGCUGUUAUCGCGUGAGCAACUAAACUGUGCUGGCAAUGUUUGUCUGGUCGAUUGAGUAUUGUUAUUUUCGUUAAAACCAGGGUACUAUUAAGACUCAAUUUCUGUUAUUUUUGUAUCGAACAUCGGGUGUUGGCCAUAUGUGGUUAUGAGUUUUGUUACUACCCUUGUUGAAGUGUUUGCCUGUUUACUUAUUUUGCUCGUCCUUGCCAGUCUGCUGGGUUCAAAUUUCUCCUGCUCUUCGUUGGCGCAUAUCGAGUAUUUUGAAAUACUUGCGUUCAAUUAAGUACUCAAUAUAUCUCAAAUUGUAAGUUGUUUGACUUUUUAAAUAUUAAGUUUGACCACUCGUCUUAUUCAAAGUUUUGUAUAAAAUAUCAUUUUUUUUUGUAUUGGUUUAUUAAUAAAAGUUCUUCAAGAAUAAUUUAAAUUUGACUAUAUUUGUAUAAAUUUUUUGAAUAAGACGAGUGGUUAAAUUUGGUUUAAAAAAAGUUAAACGAUUUAUAAUUUACAAUUUAGGAUGGAGGUAGUAUUUUGAAAUAUUCUUCCGAAACGUCUUCGAUGGCUUCAAAACCUAUACUGCUUUCCUUAGUUUUAACUUUUGCAUUCCAUUAUAGCUUCCCUUUAGUUUCACCAUCUUUAGCCUUGAUUAGCUGGGUGUGUGAAAAAAAAUUUGGUACCGUAGCAUUUAUGUUUAUAUUUGACAUUUAUUAUCAACCAUGACUAAUCUCAUGAUUUAUAGGUAAGAUUUACGUAUUUAGUGCUCUACGUAUAUGUUAUAUGCUGAGAUUCGAUGUGACGGUAAAUAUUGAAUAGUUUUUGGAUUUUGGAGAAAACUAAACAAGGUCUUUGUCGCUUGCACUUCUAAAAAAACAAUUGUCAGUAACUAUAUAUUAAAAAAUAUUAAUAGUUAUAAUAAUUAAUUAGUAUCAUUAGAAAGAUUUUUGAAUUUAGUGUAACAAAUUUAUUUGGAAAUAUAAAUGUGCACGUAUUUUUUAUAAAUCAAGUUAAAUUUGUGGCACGUACACCAAUGUCAACAAUUUAAAAAGGAUAGAGAAAGUAGAUGAUAGAGGGAGUAGAUGUUAUGAGAAAACAGACAAAUAGAAAAACAAGAAAUGACGAUAGAAUCAAAUAAAUUAUAGAGAAUAAUAAUAAAGCUUUAGUACUGAUAAAUAAAUCAUAGUAAUAAUAAUAGUUUUUGUUUCCUCUAUAAAAAUACUCCAUUCCUAAGUCGGUUGUUCCAAACAAGCACGAUCCUUUGCUGAACGGCCUGCAGCCUGCUCCUACACUCGUCUGCCGCCAGCAUGAUGCUGUGCGCGUCGCGGGCGUCCUCGUUUACCACGUCCGGCGCGGCGCUCGCGCCUCCUUGGCUCCUUGCUGUGCUUCACCGCCACUCGCCAUGCUCCCCGCGCUUUGCCGAUGCCACCAGUGGCGGAGGGAAGGGGGGCCUGAGGGGGGCCUGGCACCCCCAAACUUCCCAUAACUCCCUUAAUACAUCUUAUAGAUUAGAUGUUUAAUUAUCUAAUUACUUAGUUAAUGAUAUUAUCUGUACUAAGAUUUUUAUUCUUAUUUUAUAUUAAUCUCUAAUAGUUUCUUAUACAAAUAGAUAUUUCUAAUAUUUUCUUCAUAUCUUUUAUUUUUAUUAUUGUCUAUCAAACAUCAGUUUGUCCCCUACCACACACUCUAAUUAGCUAGUUAAUUGAAAAUCAGCGUUUUUCUUGUUUAAUCCUUCUGAAUUGAUCUCCAACAAUGGAAUCUAUAUUAUUUAGCAUUAGUCUUCCUAUUAUCUUUCUUAUCUCCUAUGUUUCUAUCAUUAUUCGUCUAAACUCUAAACAAUCAUUUAGCCCGUUGUACUCAACUUUUAAAUACUAACAGUGGUAUGGUGUUUCUGUUUAACCUUCUAUUUAAAUGACCAUUUUUACCUGUUUAAGUGAUCAUUUUGUCUAAGACUAAACGAUAUGUAACUAAUUGUUUGUCAUUUGAUGUUAGGAUCUAGUACUAAUUAAUUUUGCCCCCGUUUAACUACUUGUUUUUAUUGUGAUUUUUUUUCUGGGCAAAGAAAUAGAAUGAUCAAGUGAAGGUUAGAGGCUUGAGACUCGUUAAAUUUUUCUUUUAUUUUUUUUAUUUUUUCUGCUUUUUUGCAUCGCAACACAAAUGUUUAUUUUGGUGCUAUGUAUACAUUUGUCAUAUAAUAUUUUGAUACACAUGAUUAUUUUUGGUUUGCACGGCCCCCUAUAUUUAAAUCCUAGCUCCGCCCCUGGAUGCCACGCGCUACGGACUACGGUGUACGCAUGAUGUGGAUGGCGUGCCGCCUGCGUGAUGGCGCACGUCGUGACCUGCUCACUAGCGUCCGUGUCUUUUCGCAAAACGUGAGAAAAAAAAGUAACGCUUGACUCGCAUUAGCGCCCAAACUAUCCAGACGCGAACGCCCGGUAUGGGGUGAGAACCAAGGUGCAGCGCCUGGUAGACUGACUGGACGGAGAAGCCCCGUUUUUAAAUUUUAUAAAUAAUCUAUAUCUAUUACUUUAUAUAUGUGUCUAAAUAUUUUAUGUGAUAAGUGUUAAAAAAACAAUUCGAACCCUAAGUUCUUCGGUGGGAGAGAAAGUGAAUUUAAAUCUUCACGUACGGUGGACCAAUGGGAGGAAGGAAAGUAGAGGAUCGUCUUGCAUGCUAGGAAAAAUCAGGCUUUUUUUUUUCACAAAAAUUUUCAAGAUUCUCUAUUAAAUCGAAUCUUGCGGCAUAUGCAUCAUACAUUAAUAUACAUGAAAAAAAUUAAUUAUACAGUUUAUCUGUAAAUCGUGAAACGAAUCUUUUAAGCCUAGUUACUUCAUUAUUGGAUAAUAAUUGUCAAAUAAAAACGAAAAUGUUACUAUGUCAAAAUCCAUUUUUUUUUUUGCAAACUGAACAAGGCCUCAAUAAAGAAUUUACUCAGCGUGGGAAGAAUUAACCAUUUUUUAGUGGCGGUGCCAAAAAUUAUACAGAGGAGUAUAGGCUGAGCGUAGCUCAUCUGUUAAGUUUUUUCAAGGUGCAUUGGUUGCACUUACACCUUUGACUAUACUAGUUAAGUAUACGUUUAAUAAAAUAUAAUGAAAUGUACGUACACAUUUAGUAGAACCUAAGUGUUUUUAUGUGAUUUUAUUGUCUAGUGACAUAAAAAAUGUACUCCCACCAUACUAGAAAUAAAGUUAUUUUGGACAGUGGCACAGUCUCUAAAGCAUAACUUUGACUUUUUGUUCUUAUAAAUUUUUUUAUCAAAAAAUAAUAUAUGUAUAUUUUUACGAAAGUAUUUUUGAAGACAAAUCUAUUCAUAUGGUUUUCACAUUUCCAAACUCAACAACUUAAAAGUUAUUCAUGAUUUAUAUUCCCAAUGUUUAACCAAACCUUGUCCAAAAUAACUUUAUUUUUAGUAUGGAGGGAGUAUAUAACAAGAAUUUUUUAUUAUAUCUUGCAAAUAUAAACAUAUCAUAUACGCUUAUAAAGCAAAACCCUACUAGCAAUUUUUUUGACAUCUAAGGUACUACAAGAAAUGUGUUAUCUUAUGACGAUUAUGGCAUGACAUGUGAUUAAAAUGUCACUAAAUCAAUCAGUUUAUGACGUUCUUUUGAAAGCCAUCUCAACUUAGUGACAUAUAUGAUUUCAUGUCACAAAAAAUAUCUUCAAUGUAGUUAAACUCCAUAUCGUGACAAUGUUUGCCAUGUUAGGGUUGUUUAAUUCCCAAAAAAUUUGCAAAAUUUUUCAAGAUUCUUCGUCACAACAAAUCUUGCGGCACAUGCAUGGAGCAUUAAAUAUAGAUAAAAAAUAACUAAUUGCAUAGUUUAUCUGUAAUUUGCAAGACAAAUCUUUUGAGCCUAGCUAGUUAAUCCAUGAUUGGACUAUAAUUUUCAAAUACAAAUGAAAGUAUUGUAGUAGCUAUUUUGCAAAAUUUUCGGUAACUAAACAGGACCUUAAUUAACCCCUACAGUCUUGGGUUAUUUUCCGUUUCUCCCAUAUAAGACCUUGUUUAGUUCAAAAAGUGAAAAGUUUUCGGUACUGUAGCACUUUCGUUUGUUUAUGACAAAUAUUAUCCAAUCAUGAACUGACUAAGAUCAAAAGAUUUGUCUCGUGAUUUCCAGCUAAACUGUGUAAUUAGUUUUUGUUUUCGUCUAUAUUUAAUAUUUCAUGCGUGUGCCAUAAGAUUCGAUGUGACGGAGAAUCUUAAAAACUUUUUGGUUUUCAGGGUGAACUAAACAAGGCCUAAGAAGCUAAACAAGUCAGCAAAAUUGUUUUUGACAAUCUAAUUUUCAUCUUCUGACUCCGUGCAUCAUCAUGCCAAAGGCUGGUAGCCAAAAAUAUCUGGGCUUUUAUCCCAUGCCUCCCUCCCAGUAAAGAACAUCGAUCCCUCCUCUUCUCAUCGACAUCCUAUCCACCGCCUCCCCUCCCCGCCUGACCUUGACACGGACGGAGCCCCUGCGGCUGGCACGUCGGCAGCCCCCUCCGCCUCUGCUUCCGCUUCCAUCUCCGCCUCCUUCCUCCCUCUCUCUGCCUCUCCCCACGCGACGGCGCAACCAACUGGAUAGGACGAGGCACCAACCGGCGAACGGCUUCGGUGAGACGGUGGCGGUGCGCGGGCGCUGGCGAGCCCCGUAGGUGGCCGCCGCUGUGGAUGCCACCCAACGCGGCUUCCUCCUUAUAGUCCAUGUGUGCUCAUGGGCUCGACGAAACAACAAAACCCUAGGUGCCUGUGUUCGGCGGCGGCCAGAUCUGGAGGUAUCUCAUCCUCUUAUUCUCUUUCUACUCCAUCCCAUUGCUCGUCACCCAAAUCCUCUCCUCCUCAAUCCUCCCCUUUGUGCAAUGCAGAGCACCUGAGUGUGAGGCACUGACCAACAGGGAGGCAGUAGUAAAUGAGCAAGCUACAAUAGCAAGCACGAAGUACUUGAAAUUUUAAAUGUAGUUCUCCAUUCUCUGGAAUCACUAAUUAGCCUUUGUUUACUUGCAUAUUGCAGAUUUUACAAUUUGAUUAAUUAUUCAAGCCCCUGUUAACAUUGCUUUGUUUUUUUAGAGGACCUAAGAUAUUUUAGGUCUGCCCUAAUUUUUACUGGGUCCUAAGUAAAUUAGAAAUUUAUGUACACUGAAAAAUAUAGCUACUUUAAUGGUAGAAUGAAUAUUAAUAAGAAAACUAGGCAGGAUAUAGUCAGAUCGGAUCAUAAAUGUCCUAUUUUUGUGACUGGGUGUUAAAACAAGAGACAUGGUUAGUUCUGUCCACUAGAUAGAUAUUCUGAGCGGAGAUUUGUCUUUUCAAAGCAUCACUAUUGAUUUGAGAUUUAUUUUGAAGCAAAUGACUGAUUUAAGAUUGUUGUACUGUUAUUACUUGCUAACCUGAAUUUCUAUGCUCAACUCACGAUAUUUGUUAGGUGGGCAAUAUGUCAAGUUUUGAAAUACUUGAUAGAAAUAUCAGAACCUAAAAAACCUAUGUCUUCAGUUUGACAACAUCACUAUUCUCGGCUCAAUUGGCUACACUAGUUUCAUCUGUGAUCAAUUGGCUACACUAGUUUUAGUUGGCAGAUGCAGCAACCUGAAACCGAGAUAUACGUUAAAUAGGUGUUUGCUAUUGUCACAUUUUUUUGCCGCUGUCUUACCAUGUUAUCUGAUUUGUAAACAUGAAACUGCUAUUGGCAGAUGCAGCAACUUUUUGUUGAUCUAGUUGCUGAUUUGGUGCUUCGUGUUAACCAGCAAGGAGUCGGGCAGAUAGAAUCUUCUUUUCUUCUGUUGCUUGUCUUGGUUUUCUAACACCUUUGACAGGUAGACAGGUAUAGUACCUCUUGAUCCAAGUAUUUACUACUUGUAUUAGUUUUUUAUUGUUUUAUGUUUCGUUUUCAAUUGUCCAGUUCAGUUUUAGACUUAGAAAGUAGACAUGUAGUGUAGCUCUUGAUCCAAUUAUUUCCUGCUUGUCUUUUAAAUGACUAAUAGCUAGUUAAUUCAUCUUCCCUUACAACAGUUUAAGAAUCCUACUUGCUUCUUGUCGAUCGUAAGUGUCAUCUACCACUUCUCCCUUCCGAAGGCGUCGGCUGCUAGAUCCUAUAGCCAAGCGAGAUUCAAGGAUGAACCAUCGUAUCCAUGGUGGGCAUAUAGAACCAUGACCUGUCAGCUGCUCCUGCUGUUUGGAGGUGCAUGAGUCAUUCGUGCGUUGCUCCAUUGUGGGCUCUUCUUCUAGGAUUGGACCAUGGAGAAGAUAUGUUGAAAGACACAUAUAUAGGUAUAAGAUUUAUCUUAUGACUAUUCAUGCAUUUAUUAGAUUACAGACAGGAUAGAAGCCGUUAUAUUACAAACAUGAUAGGAGCCGUUAUUAGAUUACAAACAAGAUUUAUCUUAUGACUAUUCAUGCUUCUAUUAUGUAGUCCUAAGCUGAUCUAUCUAAUUAAACUAGAACCAUUAUAUCUUGUUCCAUAUUCAAUAUUAUUUUAACAGCUUAUUGCUUCCUUAUUUUAGGCAUAUAGUGCACAUAGUUAAUUACAAGUGACUGUAACACAGGUAUCUAUUGGCUAAGUCAAUAUUUCUAACGUGGGUGCACAUGGAGAUUUGAGGCUUAAUGGAGAAUUGGUCCACUCAAAGUUGAUAGGUUGGAUUUCAGUGAUCUUGUUUCUUCCAUGUCCACGUAACGUUGAAUCAGGAUGGUGAUUUUUGAAACAUCUGCGUAUAUAUAAAUGUGAAAUGAAGGUUACUUUGUAAACUUAAAGUUUCCUUUGUUGACAUGUUGUAUAGUAUAAAGAAUUAUCCACCAUACUUGAGAAUAUACAUGCUCAUGACUUUGCUAGAGAUUAUAAGUAUUAUCAUAUUUUCUUUGUAUGCUAGCUUUAUUGAAUUGAUAAACAAAGAACUAUAAUAAAUUUGCAACAGUAGUGUUUUAGGUGGCAGCUUACUUACACAUGACUAGUUGUGAACUUAAUUGAUAUAGUCUAGAGUGUUGUUCAAACAAUGCAUGAUGUUGGUGUUGUGAGAUCAUAUAUGCAUAUAUUAUUGUAAUUGUUGUUUGAUUUCUUCUGACUUAUAAAUGUAAAGUUCCCUUUGACUUCUCCAAUUGUUUCAACAAGUGAUAUUUGUUUCUGAUCGAUCUGUUUUCUACAGAGCAUGGAGAAAUUCAGAAACCUAAGGUACUCACUCAUGCUCCUGACACCAAGAAUACCUAGCUGUCAGCACCUGUUGAACUAUUAGUUUGGUGAUUUGUUUCAACAAGUGAUAUUUGUUUCUGAUCGAUCUGUUUUGUUUUCUACAGAGCAUGGAGAAAUUCAGAAACCUAAGGUACUCACUCAUGCUCAUGACUCCAAGAAUACCUAGCUGUCAGCACUGAGGUAACUUUGUGACUAAGGUCACUCGUUGAACUAUAGUUUGGUGUUUGUGAUGAAUGUAGUAAAUAAGUUGUUGAAUGACUUGUGAACCUGUUGAUUUGGUUAUGAAUGGAAUAUAUUGUUGGACCUACCUAUGUUAAUGUGGAUUAUAUGAUGUGAGUGGGGUACGUGAUGGUAUGGAUCAAGCCAAAUCAAGAAUUAUCCUACGUGACAAGGCCUACCAAUCUAUGACAUAAAAGUAGAAGUCAUAAACGCUUGUGACAUCUACAACUAAUGUCAUAAUAUUAUGACAUGAACACUUAAACGUCACAAGUUGUCAUUAAAGACACACAUCUUUUGACAUUUCAGUUUUCGUCAACUUAGUGUCAUAAAUGGUGAUCUGUGACUUAUUUUACAUGAAUUAUGACAUAUAACAAAUGUCAAAAGAUGACACAUUAUAAUAUCCACGUCGGUAGGACACAUCAUCCACUAACAUACAUUUAGUUAUCCGCAUCAGCAUGUCAUGUUAUCCACUAACAUUAGUUUAUAAUAGUUAGUCUCUUACUUAAAAAAAUAUAUGAAUAGUUAAAUUGCAGUCCAAAUCAUUAGUUUCGCAGCAACGCGUCGGAUGUUCUUCUAGUAUUAUUAAAUCUCUAAUUCAGAUUCAGGAUCAAGAUCCUCUUCUAUUUCGAGCGGAGUAAUAAUUAAACAAAUAGAGAAAAUCCUAGGGAAAGGAUAAUGGUCUCAAUUCUCAUAUGUCUUAAACUUAUUCCUUCCUCCAUCACGAGAUGUUAGUCUUUUGAUUAAAAAUAUAAAAUAGAUCUUAAAAUUACAAAAUAGAUUUCAACCAUUAUCUUUUAAAAUAUGUUGUUGUUUGUAAAAAAAAUUAAUAUUAAAUUUAGAAAUAUUUUUAAUAUAAAUUUAUGAUACAAGUUUUAUCUCUAUAUAAAUUUGUAUGUAACUGGGAUAAUUAUUAGUUAGAAAUUAUUUAUAAUAUUUGAUUUUUAUCAAAAUAAGAUAUGUUAAUUAUUUCGAGACGAAGGAAUACGGUGACUAGGGCCGGUAAUUUUCAGUGGACAAACAUAGCGGUAAUUUUCAGUGGACAAGCACAUGAGCCUCGAGCCAUCGAUCCCAGCUCCAACGCUGCACUAGGAAGCACCGGCCAGAAAAGUGAACCGCCCUGCUUAACGCUCACAGUGUUGUUUGUGCCUGACCUAUCCUGCCACUCAUGACGACCUUGGGCCUAGCCCAUCCUACCAUCCAUGAUGAUACCGGUGAUAAGAAAAGUUCACAUUACUUCUCUCAACUUUCAUAAAAGUAUAUUUUUUUUCUUAAAACUUCAAAAUCAGGCAAAAUAUCUUCCUUAAAUUUUAAAACUGUUGAUCUUACCUCCCUGUCCUUGUUAUAAGCAGUUUCGAAGGCAGUUUGGUCUUUUUUUUUUCUUUUUUGCUAAAUCUUUAAAAAAUCAUAGUAAAACAUAGGAAAAUCAUGAAACAGAAAAAUCCAAUGUUAUUGAACUUAACAUGAGCAGAUAUACAUAGUAAACAUAUAUGAUAGGCUUUAGAAUAAAGUUUUUGCUCUAGUUUUAGAUCUAUGCUUUUUUAUAAUUGAAUGAAAUAAUUCAUAGUUGCAACUUCUAUGGUCCAAUGGCGAUGAAAAUUUUAUGGUGAACUAAUUAUUUUAUGCUUAAAUUGUAGUAAAGAAUUUAUAUUCAUUGGAUCAUGUAUAACUUAGUUAUAGAUUUUAUUUAGGUUAUUGCUUGUUAGAUAUAAAUAAAUCUAUAACUAAGUUAUACAUAAUUCAAUGAGUAAAAUUUUGUACUACUGUCCAAUCAUACAAUAAUUAACCCACCAUAAAAGUUUCAUCAUAAUUGGACUAUAGAAACUGCAGUUGUGAAUUAUUCCAAUUAAUUAUUAAAAACACAGAUCUAAAGACACAAAAACUUUGUAGUAAAACAUACCAUAUUAUAUAUUCACUGUGUAGAUACUCAUAUAGAGUCUAACAAAAUUGGAUUUUCUAUUUUAUGAUUUACCAUGAUUUUCAAAUAUUAAGAUGAAAUAAAUAAAAAGGGAAAGAUACAAAACUAUUUUUAAAACUACUUGCAACAGGACCAGAGAGGUAAGAUAAACGGUUUUAAAGUCGAGGAAGGUAUUUUGUCUGGUUUUAAAGUUCUAAGAGGAAAAACAGAUUUUCACGAAAGUUGAAGGAGGUAAUGUGGAUUUUUUUGCUAUUUUGACCCAACCGCACAUAGCUGUGCUUUUCAUGGUGUUGACAAGUGUAUCGGGCUGAUACUGCACAUGCAUAUAUCCUGUUAUUUGGACUCAUCAUUGGAUCAUUCAGUUAUACGUUAUGUCCAUCUUUUAAUCAGUCAAGACCCCAACUAGGUGAAAAUUUAAGACGUAGCUACUAGCAAUUUUCAAGGAUAAUCACAUCGUAAAAGAACAUAUAUAGUUGUCUAACAAUAAAUAGGUAAUUUGUUCAUCCAAGGCAGUUACUGUAGGUUAAACUUCAUACUCAGCCACUAUUUGGAAAGUAUUCUCAUCUUAUGCAUCCUUAUUGUUCUUGUGAGAUGUUGUAGACCCGACAUAUUCAUUUAGCGCUACUGCUGAUAUUUUCCUUUGAUAAAUUAAUACAAUAUGAACAAUAGUUAUUAACAGCAGGAACAAUGUUGCAGCGCUUAUAAACCUUGCCUACGAAAAGCGUCCACGACAAGAAGUACUAAAAUAUUUCUGUAUUGAUAAGGUGAAGACAUAUCUAACUAUCUGUUAUGAUUUGCCAAUCAAAUUAAGUCUAGUACUAUAGUAGAGUAGUUGCUCCUUCCCUCCAAGCUAGAAAAGCUAUUUUGGAAGUAAUUUGGUAAAGCAGAAAAUGCAAAAAUCAUAACAGGAAUCACAACCUUAGGGGAAUGAAAGAGGUACUAAAACACCAUCCAAUGAUAUCUCUAUUGUAGUAGUGCCAAAUCUUGCAUUUGCACAAAUAGGAAUGAUAAUUUAAUUACCAUAGUACAAGGAAUCAAAUAAUGUUGCAUUCCAUAUAUCUGAACCUUGAAACCCAUUUCUUCAUUUUCUUCGGGUUAUGUGUGGGCUAAUACAAAGUUGAAGUUUUCUAAAAGCAACCGUUCAACAUGGGAGUAGCUAGUUUCAAAAUAGUUGAAUCAGAUUUCAUGAGGAGGUGACCUCCUACGUUUUCAAGGAUCUGCCUACCUGAAACCAAACCCAAAAGCAUACCUGACAACUGUUGGUUCAAUAUAAGAAAUAGAAGAUUUUAGUCACAUUUAGACACACUUAAAUUAUUUUUUAUCUAUCAACAUUGAAUAAUUUCUAUGUAAAGGAAGAGUUGAUGGUCUUAAAGGUGGCUUGAUGGACUCUGACACCAUUUACAGACCACUAAGUUUUGAUACAAAAUGAAAGUCGCACACAUCAAGUAUAAAUUCAAACUUCUUAAAUCUCGGAUCUCCCGUGUCUCCAAAAUCUCUAUGCAAUUGAAUUUUCUCACGGUGCCUCGUCCCUUGAUGUUUUUCUCCAUCUUCCUCUAUGCUCUAUCGCAUAGUCCUACUCGCUCGCGGUACCCGUGCUAGUAUACUAUAAAUUUAAAUUUUUCUGAGCGACUAAAAUACUUUUUUGAAUUUAAUUUUCAUGUUUCGUUUGAGUACGUACGUGGUUGGCCACGAGGCAGGGGUCGGGGCUUGUGGCGUGGUUGGCCACACGGAGUUUUAUUUUUCCUUUUUUUUAUUUUAAGAAAAUGUAUAGCUCACGUAGUACUACGGUAGUAGUAUGUGUAGGUCGGACGCACUUUUUAAUUCAUUUGUGGCCCAUGAAGUGAUUUUUGGGCCCAAUAGCCCAUUCAUCCGUGUCCUAACCCUAGUCUGCCAUAUAAAAACCUAACUCCAUCCGGUUCUCAAACCCUAAGACGCAGUCGGCCGCCGCACACCAGGAGAAGCCGACGCGCCGCCACCGUAUCCGCGGAUCAGCGGCGAGCCGUCACCACGCCACACUGCUUGCCGCCCGACGAGGUAUUCUCCCGCACGCGCGCGCUUCUCUUCCUUCUCUUUUCGUUGUGCUUUGAGCUUGUUCGUUUGAUGCGCUUCGAGCUUGUUCGUUUGAUGCCCAGAUCUACUAGGUUUGUCGUCUAUGUGUGAUGAGCUGAGCCGAUUCAUGCACUGGAUUUCUUAUCAAGUGUUGUUUCCGUCUCCGCUACCUUUAUUUAGUGUCUAUGUAUGAACUUGGGUGCAGUUUGCAAUUGAUUUGUCGAGCCAUAAAUUAUAAACGUUUCGUUGUUCUAGACUGAUCCAGAUUCCGAUCUAUGAUAUUACAUGGCUGAGGCACUUCUACGCUGUUUUAUGUGUCUGAACUGAGCCGAUUCAUGUGCUGAGUAAUAAUCAAAGUUUUGAUUCCGCCUCCUCGUCUACCUUUAGUAUGUACUCCGUAUAUAAACUUGAUUGCAGUUUGCAACUGAUUCUCGGCCAUAGAUUAUCACUGUUGCGUUGUUCAUUAGAUCCAGUUUCUGUGGUAUUAUGUGGGUGAGGUAGUUCCUCUUUGGAUUUUUCCUAUCCUUGAGAUUGUUUGAUUACUGGUUUAUUCCCAUGUUUGUUUAUUUCUAACUAUUUUUAGAUGAUGAUUUCUAAAUUCUAACUGUUUUUAUCUGCUAUUUUUUAUGUAAGCAGCAGCGUAACAGUUUCCUGCAGCCAUGGGUAAGGAGAAGACUCACAUAAACAUUGUGGUCAUUGGCCAUGUCGACUCUGGCAAGUCGACCACCACUGGCCACCUGAUCUACAAGCUUGGUGGUAUUGACAAGCGUGUGAUCGAGAGGUUCGAGAAAGAGGCUGCGGAGAUGAACAAGAGGUCGUUCAAGUAUGCGUGGGUGCUUGACAAGCUCAAGGCUGAGCGUGAGAGAGGUAUCACAAUUGAUAUUGCCCUGUGGAAGUUCGAGACCACCAAGUACUACUGCACGGUCAUUGAUGCCCCUGGCCACCGUGACUUCAUCAAGAAUAUGAUCACUGGCACUUCUCAGGCUGACUGUGCUGUUCUUAUCAUUGACUCCACCACUGGUGGUUUUGAGGCUGGUAUCUCCAAGGAUGGCCAGACCCGUGAGCAUGCUCUCCUUGCUUUCACACUUGGAGUGAAGCAGAUGAUUUGCUGCUGCAAUAAGGUAUGAUUCCAGGAAUUCCUAUCUAGUCUGGUUCAUGAUCUGAGAUGCCUGUAAAUAUGCGCUUCAAUAGUCUAGGCUGCACUCAAUUAUACUGCCUUCAAGUUGAAUACUGAUUGAAUAACUAAUGUUGGUUGUACUAUAAAUUUGGCAAAAUGAUACUCUGUUUACUUUGAAUAAUCCAUCUGCUUCCUACAUAUAUAUGAUAGCAUUUUUUCUGCAUAACUUUGCAUAAUCCAAUAUAAUAUUUUCAGGAAGUUUUUCCCGAUAGGUGAUGUGACUUUGUAACUCCACCUGAUUUUUGAAAUUCUCUCAAGUUGUUGGAAUGCUUGCAAUGCAUAUGUAAUUAAAGGAUAUGGGUUUGCUUAAAUGUCUUUAUAUGAUUGCAGUAGUUAGUUUACUACUUUACCUUGUAAAUUAGUAAUGGAACACUGAUUGUUUUCAUUGAAUACGCCAUCUACUUUAUACAUGUUUAUGUAUGAUAGCAAUUUAUUUGCAUUACUUUGCAUAGUAUAAUUUGAUUAUCCAGGAUAAUUGUCCCCAUAGGUGAUGUAAAUUUUUAAUCCCACCUUAUUUUAGAAAUUUUCUUAAGUUGUUGGAAUGUUUGCAAUGCACAUGUAACUAAAAGUUAUGUGUUUCUUAAAUGUCUUUAUAUGAUUGCAGUAGUUAGUUUACUUUGUCAAUUAGUAGGAUUUGUUGGCAUGCAUCUGUUAAGGUCAGUAUUUUUGGGCCUUGUUUAGUUCCCAAAAAAUUUUGCAAAAUUUUUCAGAUUCCCCGUCACAUCAUAUCUUUAGACGUAUGCAUGGAGUAUUAAAUAUAGACGAAAAUAAAAACUAAUUGCACAGUUUAGUCGGAAUUGACGAGACGAAUCUUUUAAGCCUAGUUAGUUCAUGAUUGGACAAUAUUUACCACAAACAAACGAAAGUGCUACAGUGUCGAUUUCCCAAAAAUUUUUGGAACUAAACAAGGCCCAUGUAUAUGCCUGGCGGUUAUUUGUGUUUUCCCCCCAACAAAUCUCAUUCCUUGUGCAAGUGCAGUUGACCAGUUAGUUCUGAUUAUUAUGUUCUUUCAGUUUUACUGUUUGCUUGCUGUUUAGGUAACUUAUCUGAAUCAACUAAUGAUAUUGUUUGGGUUUUGCUGCUUUACAGAUGGAUGCCACCACACCCAAGUACUCGAAGGCCCGUUAUGAUGAAAUUGUGAAGGAAGUCUCUUCCUACCUGAAGAAGGUUGGAUACAACCCAGACAAGAUCCACUUUGUUCCCAUCUCUGGUUUUGAAGGUGACAACAUGAUUGAGAGGUCCACCAACCUUGACUGGUACAAGGGCCCAACCCUGCUUGAGGCUCUGGACUUAAUCAAUGAGCCAAAGAGGCCUUCAGACAAGCCCCUGCGUCUCCCCCUUCAGGAUGUGUACAAGAUUGGUGGUAUUGGAACUGUUCCUGUGGGACGUGUUGAGACUGGUAUCAUCAAGCCGGGUAUGGUUGUCACCUUCGGUCCUAGUGGCCUUACAACUGAGGUUAAGUCUGUUGAGAUGCACCACGAGGCUCUCCAGGAGGCCCUUCCUGGUGACAAUGUUGGCUUCAACGUUAAGAAUGUUGCUGUGAAGGAUCUGAAGCGUGGGUAUGUGGCCUCCAACUCCAAGGAUGACCCUGCCAAGGAGGCUGCUAGCUUCACCUCACAGGUCAUCAUCAUGAACCACCCUGGGCAGAUUGGCAAUGGCUAUGCCCCAGUGCUGGACUGCCACACCUCACACAUUGCUGUCAAGUUUGCUGAGCUUGUUACCAAGAUUGAUAGGCGAUCUGGCAAGGAGCUUGAGAAGGAGCCCAAAUUCCUCAAGAACGGUGAUGCUGGUAUGGUGAAGAUGGUUCCCACUAAGCCCAUGGUGGUGGAGACCUUCUCUGAGUAUCCUCCUCUUGGUCGCUUUGCUGUCCGGGACAUGAGGCAAACGGUGGCUGUUGGAGUCAUCAAGAGCGUGGAGAAGAAGGACCCAACUGGAGCCAAGGUGACCAAGGCUGCCGCCAAGAAGAAAUGAGGUGUCUGUCUGGCUGGUUCUGUGUUUUCUCGAUGGAUACCUAGUUGAAACUUAAAAUAUUUCGUCAUUGCUGUUAUCGACGUGAGCAACUAAACUGUGCUAGCAAUGUUUGUCUGGUCGAUUUAGUAUUGUUAUUUUCGUUAAAACCAGGGUACUAUUAAGACUCAAUUUCUGUUAUUUUUGUAUCGAACAUCGGGUGUUGGCCAUAUGUGGUUAUGAGUUUUGUUACUACCCUUGUUGCAGUGUUUGCCUGUUUACUUGUUUUGCUCGUCCUUGCCUGUAUGCUGCGUUCAAAUUUCUCUUGCUCUUCGUUCCUUUUGAUCUUUAAGUUGCCAAAAUUGCAUAUCGAGUAUUUUGAAAUACUGUCGUAAAAGAAAGUAUUUUGAAAUAUUCUUCCGAAACGUCUUUGAUGGCAUCAAAUCCUAUACUGCUUUCCUUUAGUUUAACAUCUACAAUCCAGUAUAGGUUCCCUUUAGUUUUACCAUCUUAGGCGUUGUUUAGUUGGCUGGAUGAAAAUUUUAGCUUCCCUUUAGGCUUUGUUUAGUUUGCAAAAUUUUUCGUUUUUUGCUACUGUAGCACUUUUAUUUUUAUUUAACAAACAUUAUCUAAACAAGGAGUGACUAGACUUAAAAGAUUCAUCUCACAAAUUACAUGUAAACUGUGUAAUUAAUUUUUAUUUUUAUCUAUAUUUAAUGUUUCAUACAUGCGACUAAAGAUUCGAUAUGAUGGAGAAUCUUGAAUUUUUUUCGAACUAAACAAGGUCUUAGUUUUACCAUCUUAGGCGUUGUUUAGCUGGGUGGGUGAAAUUUUUUUGGAUUCUGUAGUAUUUUCAUGUGUAUUUGACAAUUAUUUUUAAUUAUGGAUUAACUAGUUUAAAAGAUUUGUUUUACGAUAAAAUUGUAUAAUUAAUUUUUAUUUUUGUCUAUAUUUAGUGCUAUAUGUAGAUGUAACAAAAAAUCUUAAAAAGUUUUUAGAUUUUUUGGAGGAAACUAAACAAGGCCUUAAUAUGCCUUAAAACAUAGGAAUGGGGUAUAGAUGUCAUGAGAAAAUAGAGGAAUAAGAAAAACAAGAAAUAACGGUAGAAUCAAAUAAAUUAUAGUAAUAAUAAUAAAGCUUUAGUACUGAUAAGUAAAUUAUAGUAAUAAUAAUACAAGCUUGAAUCAGUUGUACUGAAUAAGUAAAUUAUAGUACUUUGCUAAGAUUAUAGAUUAUAGUUUUCCUUUAAAAUAAGAAGCCUGCAACAAUGUUCCAUUGGAAAGGAACAUGACAAUUCAUUGCUCCUGGCCUUGUUUAGUUCCGAAAAGAUUUCGGAUUUCGGUACUUAGUACUUUCGUUUGUUUAUGACAAAUAUUAUCAAAUUAUGGACUAACUAGGAUCAAAAGAUUCGUCUCGUGAUUUCCAGCUCAACUGUGUAAUUAGUUUUUGAUUUCGUCUAUAUUUAAUGCUUAAUGCAUGUGCCACAAGAUUCGAUGAACUAAACAAGCACAUCACCUCUGCUGAACGGCCUGCUCCUGCACUCGUCUGCCGCCAGCAUGAUGCUGUGCGCGUCGGGCGUCCUCGUCAUGCUCCCGCACUCCGCGCUUUGCCGAUGCCACGCGCUACGGUGUACGCAUGACGUGGGUGGCGUGCUGCCUGUGGGAUGGCGCACGUCGUGACCUGCUCGCUAGUGUGUCCGUGUCUUUUUGCAAAACGUGAGAAAAAAAAAGAGUAACGUUUGUGUCUACGGGAGUAUUUGGUUGAGGUAGCACAUUUAAAUUAUAGUAAUUAGUAUCUAAUUAUAAAUUAAUUAGAUUUAAAAAUCAUCUUAUAAAUUAUUCUUUAAUUGUGUUUUUAAUUUUAUAGAUAAUCUAUAUUUAGUAUUUCAUAUAUAUGUCUAAAUAUUUUAUAUGAUAGGUGUUAAAAAAAGGUCGGAACGCUAAGCUCUUCGGUGGGACUGUGGGAGAGAAAGUGAAUUUAAAUCUUCACGUACUGUGGACCAAUCGGAGGAAGGAAAGUAGAGAUAUCGUCUUGCAUGCGAGGGAAAAUCAAUAAAGAAUUUACUCAGCGUGGGAAGAAUUAACCAUUUUUUAGUGGCGGUGCCAAAAAUUGCACAGAGGAGUAUAUGGGCUAAGCGUAGCUCAUCUGUUUAGUUUUUUUCAAGGUGCAUUGGUUGCACUUACACCUUUGACUAUACUAGUUAAGUAUACGUUCAAUAAAAUAUAAUGAAAUGUAAGUACACAUUUAGUAGAACCUAAUUUUUUUAAUGUGAUUUUAUUGUCUAGUGACAUAAAAAAUGCACUCCCUCCGUACUAGAAAAUAAAGUCUUUUUGGAUAGGGACACGGUCUCUAAAGCAUAACUUUGACUCCUUGUUUUUAUAAAAAAUUUUAUCAGAAAGUGAUAUAUAUAUAUUUUAAUGAAAGUAUUUUUCAAGACAAAUCUAUUCAUAUAGUUUUCACAAAUGAAAGUAUUUUUCAAGACAAAUCUAUUCAUAUAGUUUUCACAUUUCUAAACUCAACAACUUAAAAUUUAUUCAUUAUUUAUAUUCCCAAUGUUUGACCCGAACUUUGUCUAAAAUAACUUUAUUUUUUAGUGUGGAGGGAGUAUAUAACAAGAAUUUUUUUAUUAUAUCUUCCAAAUAUAAACAUAUUCUAUACUUCGACAGUCCACUAUCAUUUGUAAUUAAAGUUCACUAACAAAAGCAAUUAUAAUAUCCACGUCACUGGGACACAUCAUCCACUAACAUACAUUUAGUUAUCCACAUCAGCAUGUCACGCUCUACUAACAUUAUUUUAUAAUAGUUAGUCUCUUACUAAAAAUGUAUGAAUAGUUAAAUUGCAUUCCAAAUCAUUAGUUUCGCAACAACGCGCGGGAUGUUCUUUUAGUGUUAUUAAAUCUCUAAUUCAGGGAUCAAGAUUCUCUUCUAUUUCGAGCGGAGUAAUAAUUGAACAAACAGGGGAAAUCCUAGGAAAGGAUAAUGGUCUCAAUUCUUAUAUGUCUUAAAAUUACUACUUCCUCCAUCACGAGACGUUAGUCUUUUGAUUAAAAAAUAUAAAAUAUAACUUAAAAUCACAAAAUAGAUUUCAACCAUUAUUUUUAAAUAUGUUAUUAUUUGUUAAAAAUAAUAUUAAAUUUAGAAACAUUUUGAAUAUAAAUUUAUUGAUACAAUUUUUAUCUCUAUAUAAAUUUGUAUGUAAUUGGGAUAAUUAUUAGUUAGAAAUUAUUUAUAAUAUUUGAUUUUAUCAAAAUAAGAUACGUUAAUUAUUUCGGGACGGAGGGAUACGGUGACUAGGGCCGGUAAUUUUCAGUGGACAAACAUAGCGGCAAUUUUCAUUGGACAAGCACAUAAGCCUCCAGCCAUCGAUCCCAACUCCAAGCCUCCAACGCUGCACCAAGAAGCACCGAACCGCCCUGCUUGAUGCUCAUUGUGCCAUUUGUGCCUGACCCAUCCUGCCACUCAUGACGACCUUGACGACCUUGGGCCUAACCCAUCCUGCCAUCCAGGACGAUACUGGUGAAAAGUCCACGUUACUUUUCUCAACUUUCACAAAAGUAUAUUUUUUCUUAUGAAACUUCAAAAUCGGGCAAAAUAUCUCCCUUAAAUUUUAAAACCUUGAUCUUACCUUACUGUCCUUGUUAUAAGCAGCUUUGAAGGCGGUUUGGUCUUUUUAUUUUUUAGCUAAUUCUUUAAAAAUCAUAGUAAAACAUAGGAAAAUCAUGAAACGAAAAAGGCUAAUUUUGUUGAACUCCACGUGAAUAGAUAUAUAUACUAAACAUAUAAUAUGAUAUGCUUUAGUAUAAAGUUUUUCAAUAGUUUUAGAUCUAUGUUUUUUUAUAAUUGAAUGAAAUGCAACUUAUAUGGUCCAAUGGUGAACUAAUUAUUAUAUGCCUAAAUUGUACUAAAAAUUUCAUAUUCAUUGGAUCAUGUAUAACUUAGUUAUAGAUUUUUUAAGGUUAUUGCUUGUUUAAUAUAAAUAAAUCUAUAACUAAGUUAUACAUAAUUCAUUGAGUAAAAUUUUUACUACAAUCAAAUCAUACCAUAAUUAACCCACCAUAAAAAUUUCAUCAUAAUUGGACCAUAGAACUCGCAGCUGUGAAUUAUUCCAAUUAAUUAUUAAAAAGCACAGAUCUAAAGACACAAAAAACUUUAUAGUAAAAUAUACCAUAUUAUAUAAUCAUUGUGUAGAUACUCAUGUGGAGUCUAACAAAAUUAGAUUUUAUAUUUUAUGAUUUUUUGCGAUUUACCAUGAUUUUCAAAUAUUAAGAUGAAAUAAAUAAAAAAGAAAGAGACAAAAUUGCCUUUAAAACUACUUACAACAGGACCAAAGAGGUAAGAUAAACAGUUUUAAAGUUGAGGUAGGUAUUUGUUUGGUUUUAAAGUUUUGAGAGGAAAAGUAGACUUUCGCAAAAGUUGAAGGAGGUAAUGUGGAUUUUUUUUUCCUAUUUUGACCCAACCUCACAUAGCUGUGCUUUUCAUGGUGUUGACCAGUGUAGCAGGUUGAUACUGCUGAAAGGAUCAAGAUGCUCAAGACGAGGGGUGAAUUGGGCUUCUCUAAAAAUUUAAGCAACCUAUAAGCCUCAAUUCAAUCCUUGUGCCUAAUUGUGUUCUAGAGAGCUACCGGACAAAAGUUUUGCAAUCUACUUCCAAUCCUAUUCUAGUAUGGCAAUUAUAGAAAAUAUAAAGUUCUGAAUUUAAGUACUAGAAUGUGAAGGGUAAGAGGAAGAGAAACGCCACGAUGUUUUGUCGAGGUAUCAGAGAGUCGCCAUUCCCCACCAGACCUCAUUGGAGCACACAUGUAAGGGCCUUGCUCCCCCUUGAUCCGCGCAAGGACCAAGUGCUCUCUACGGGUUGAUUCUUUGACACUUCGUCGCAGUGAAUCGCCCACAACCGCUCACAAGCUUGGCACGAGCUACCCACAAGAACAUCGGAUGAUCUUCGUGGCUCCAAUCACCACCGAACCGUCUAGGUGAUGACGAUCACCAAGAGUAACAAACAAUAAACUCUCACUUGACCCACACAAGGCUAAAGAGAGUGGUGGAUGCACACUUAAACUCUUGAUCUCAUUAGAGAAGGAUCACUCAAGAAAUCACUCAAAUCUCAAUUAUGUCUAGGCUCUUACUUCACCCUUGCACCAUAAGGUGUUUUUGAGCCGAAUAAAUGGGCAAGAGAGGUUUCUUGGGCAUGGUGGAGAAGUAUAUAUACCUCCCACCAAGUCCAAGAGUCGGCCAUGUGCACCCGACACUCUUGAUGUUGCAACGGACGCUUGCGCAGAGAGUCGAGUGCCUCAACAACAGCUAGUUGCGGUAUGAAAACCCUUAUCACACCGGACGCGUAGGGGCGUCCGAUGCCCUCACUCUGGAUGCAUCUAGUGCGGAAACUCUUUUGACAUGCUCCUUGGGUAAGGGAAUAGACACACCCGGAAGCGUCCGGUGCUGUGUCCGGUGCCAUACCCUAGACACGUGGCACGCUGGCUCAUCACCUGCAUACACCGAACGCACAAACAGUCCUAUUGUUGUGUUUGAUGCCAGCGUCCGAUGCCUAAAGUCAAUCAACACUUCAUCGAAACGCGAACUUUCCAAAACAAAGUUUGAUCCUCUCGAUCUAAGGACUCUCUCUAAGUUGCCUAGUGCUAGAAUUAACAAGUGUGCACCACACCUAGACCUAAAGUCUUGCCUCGGUUAAGCUACCCGUUUGUUGCCCCCUUAAUAGUACAGUCAAAAGGAAAAAUAAAGUCCUAAACUACUCUAAACACCCUUCAACUCCAAAUGGCACUUAGACCUAGUCUAAUCCUGACGAUGUCCAUGAUCCUUUAAAAACUAAAACGAUUUCUGCCAUCAAAGUGGGCACGAACUCAAUAGUCCAUUAAUCACCAUUACCAUGACCUAACUCAUAUGAUUGCCGCUGCAAAACAUACGUUAGUCAUAGUAAUCAACAUUGUCAUUAAUCACCAAAACUCACUAGGGGCCUAGAUGCUUUCAAUCUCCCCCUUUUUGGUGAUUGAUGACAAUAACCUCGAGUAUGUGAAAGAGAGUGAGGUUUUCAGACAACUUGGUUCAUAUAAGCAUGAGACAAAAAGAGCGAAAAGAGAAUUAGUCAAGCUUAUAUCAACCAAGCCAACAUCCUACAUCCAAAGAUGUGAGUCGAGUUCACCAGGAGAAACAAGUGGCUCAUAUGAAAUCAGAGUAAAACGCGGAAGCAAAAUAAUAUGAGCCAAAACACAUGACAUAGAGAGAUAAACAUGUAGCACACAUGACAUGUCUAGCAUCCAACAAGCAUAACUGAGGAGUGUAUCAUACAAUGCAUAAAGGUAAAUAUGAUGCAUGAAGUAUCACACAAAGAACAAAAAUACAGCUCAUAAGCUCCCCUAAGUCUAACAUACUCGCUCUCUCUCUCUCUCUCUCUCUCUCUCUCUCUCUCUCUCUCUCUCUCUCCCUUUGGCAUAAAGUACCAAAAACCUAAGAGUCUAUCGGUGGAGACAGAGCGGAUGAGUCGCGAGGAAUGGCCUCAAACUAGGUCAAGUCAACAUCUAAGUCCUCAUCGAUCGUUCUCUAGGAAGCUGUGCUAGGCUGAACAUCUACUUGACCCUCAGUAUCGUCACGUGUAGGUAAAGCGGUUUGGGUCGGCUCUACAAACUCUAGAACUGUCUGAUGUGUUGUCUCAGUCUCAACCUAUGACUCAACUCUGGUGGAGGUGGCUGGCAUAGACUCUAUAGCUAUCGCUGAGGCCUCUAGGAGAGUAGAAGACUGGACAAGCUGCUCAGAUGAAGCAAGUGAGGAGGACAGAAGCUCUGUAGUCGUAAUAGGAAUUAUGGAGGUUCCUUGAGCCUACUGUGGAUGAGGUGUCGGCAUGCUGGUAAGCUCACUAUAAGAGAAAGAUAACCCCUGUCCAGUCGAAGUCUCACGCGCUAAGUAUGACUCAGUGUGUGUCUGAGGAGUAAAGCCUGUACAAAGCAAAGUGAACUAUGGUGUCUACCCAAAGCUAGUAGAGAUCACACCCUGAGAGACCUGCUAAGGUGGAGUCAUGAAGGGCUGACUCUGAGCUGGAAGCUGUAGCGGCUGCUGAGACUGACUCUAAAGCCCACCAGGCUAUAACGCUAGAGUCGUGGUGGUAGAUGGACCGAUAGGAGGAACACCUAGAAGCUGAGACUGUGGAACUGUGACCCCUUUCGCUGCCACUAGAGCUACUAGAAGUGCGGCCUACUGAGCCUGAUAGGCAAGCUGCUGCUUUUAAAAGGAAAGAAGUUGUCGCUGGAGCUUGUCCUGGCGAGCCUGAAGUGCAGCAGCUAUGGUAGCCUGCUCUCUGUCACAUCUGGCCUAUUCCUCAGCCAUCCUCUACUGAUCAGCCCUCAUCCUAUCACGUAUAGCAAGUAGUGCUAGAUUUAUAGAGGAACUGCCAGCCAUGCGUUCAUGUGACCGAGGUGGAAGGUUAGGAAUAGGCUGGUGAUAGUCAUCAUCUGAACUGUCAAAGGUGAACUCAAACUCACUCUCUGCCUCUGCCUCUACCAUGGCUUCAAUAGCCAUGUGCUGCUCCUCUAUCUCAAGUAGAGCCCCUGAACUGCGUGUAGCUCUAGGUGUAGGUGCUGGAGAUGGUGCUCGUGGUGCAGGUGCUGCCACUGGUGAUCUCAAAUCAACAUAGGUCCUCAUCAUCUGGCGAAGGUCAUAGUGAGGAAACAUAGUCAUUGGUCAGUCAGCUCUCUCUAGAUCUAGGGAGGAAGUGGUGAAAGCCCUAGUUUGGUUUUGGAUAAUUGAUGAAACCCUAGUACUAACCUCUAUACUAAGUGUGUGUAGACUUAAUGAGGUUGGUACAUGCCAAGUGAUGGAGCAAGUGAUGAUCAUGGUGAUGAUGGUGAUGACCACAAGAUGAUCAAGUGCUCAACUUGGAAAAGAAGAAAGAGAAAAACAAAACCCUAUGGAGAUCAAGGCAAAGGUAUUGCUUAGGGUUUUGGUUUUGGUGAUCAAGACACCAUAGAGGGUGUGAUCACAUUUAGGAUAGAUAGCCGUACUAUAAAGAGGGGAAUUCUUUGGCUAAGCGGUUAUCAAGUGCCACUAGGUGUCAUUGUUCAUGUGCAUGCAUUUAGAACCUAGUGAGCUAACUUAACUCCUUCGAAGAAAAAUGUUUGUGAAAAUGCUAACACACGUGCACUUGUUGGUACACACUUUGUGGUGUUAGCACACUUUGAGAAUGAGGUGGAGUUUAAAGGGUAGAGAGAGGAUGGGUAGUCGCAUAUUUUGUGAAAAUGCUAACACACGUGCACUUUGUGGUGUUAGCACACUUCGGCGCUUUUCGAGAAAACGAAGUGCAUAUUUUCUAUUGCGCCGGUGGGAAAUUUGGAGUAGUCGCGGGAGUGUUUCUCGCUGAGAAAACACUCACCGGACGCUGGCUUCUGGAGCACCGGACGCUCAGACGUCCGGUGCAGACAGUGCCUGGCCCAGUUAGGGUAAGGCACCGGAUGAUAGGCACCGGACGCUGGCUUGAGCGUCCGGUGGUGCGCGUCCGGUGUGCGGGCGUUUUGCGACCCUCUCUGCGCAUGAGUCCGGUGUGCACCGGACGCGUCCGGUGCCAACCUGCUCAGCGUCCGGUGCUCUGCAGGUUACCGUUAGACUCUGACACGCGGCUGACGUUGGAGCACCGGACGCAGGUGUUGAGCGUCCGGUGCCCCUUUAAGAGCGUCCGGUGACCCCGAGUUAGACCCAGUGAGAGAGCCAAUAGCUCUAUUUGUUUGAGGGGUCUAUAAAUAGUUGUUAGCCGGCUUAGGGCUUACACUCUUGGCAUUCUAACAUACUUGACAUCCUUAUGAGCCUAAGCAAACACCUCCCACUCAUCUCCUUCGUAGAUUAAACAUCUUUGUGAGAUUGGGAGUGAUUCUAAGUGCAUUUGCUUGAGUGAUUGCAUCUAGUGGCACUUGGGGAUCGUUCUAGCUGCGGUUUUCUUGUUACUCUUGGUGGUUGCCGCCACCUAGACGGCUUGGAGCAGCGGAGGAGGAUUGGCACGAGUUGGUGAUUGUUCGUGGCCAUCUCCCGGUGAUUGUGAGGGGUCUUGUACCUUCCCCGGCGGAGAGCCGAAAGGUAACUCUAGUGGAUUGCUCGUGUCAUUGAGUUACCUCACUUGUGGGUAGGUUCUUGUGGUGUCCUAGUGAGGACGAGGUUCGUGCUACACCUCUUAGCCACCGAACCACCAAGUGUUGGUCGACACAACGGGGACGUAGCGUGCCGGCAAGCACGUGAACCUCGGGAGAAAAAUUAGUGUCUCAUUUGUGUUUGAUUGGCAUUCUCCCAGUGCUUGAUUGUUUAUAUUGGUCAUUGGUGCAUCCCCUACACGGCGGUAUAAAUAUCUCAUCCUAUCUUUACUUACCGCAAACUAGUGUAAUUAGUUUAGUUCCUUACUUUGACUUGUGUAGCUUAGUUCUCUAGUGUCACUUGUAGAGACUUAGUUCUUGUGUGCAUAGAGAUCAUAGCAACUAGAAUUAUUGGGUAGGUGGCUUGCAAACAUCCCUUUAGAGCUAGAGCAAAAAGCUUCGCUUUGUUAUUUACUAACCUUUUGCUCUAGUGAGUUUGUAGAUUUUUUAGAACAGGCUAUUCACCCCCCCUCUAGCCAUAUUAGGACCUUUCACCAGCCCAAUACACGAGAGGGGGACUAUAUAAGAAUCAAUGGAGCUGUCACUACCACGAACUACCCCGCGAUCUGGCAUAUAGGGUACAAUCGCAGAUAAAUACGGUAUAAGCACCACGCCUACACAAUAUCUAUCAUUUACCCAUGGAUCAGAUGGAUAAACGCUAUACGGUCCUAAACAUGUAUAUAAUUCCAAUCUAACUAAGCCAAGUAUAUAACUAUGAUAAACUAAGAACAAUAUAAUUGCGAAUAUAAACAAGUAGAGCAAAGUCAUAAUCAAUAUAUUGAAGUAGAACAAAGUCAUAUUCAUAAUAUCGAAGAACAAAGAUGAACAACUGAAGAACAAUAGAGAAUUACCAAGAAUCCUCUUGACAGAUCCAGAAACCAAUCGAAGAUUGACUCCUUCUAGUUCUAAUCCUAUGUAGCUAUGCUAAUCUAGAUAUCUAAUUGAUGUGGUGGCUCUAGGAUUGAUCAGAGGCUUCUUCUCCCUUGAUGAAUAAUGAAUUAGGGUUGAGAGGUCCUCUCCUCCAGGGGCCAGGGGGUCUAGUUUUAUAGUCCUUCCAAGUGAAUAUGGACCGUCGGAUCAAACCGACAUUGAUUGAACGGUUAUCUUUGAUCCUUUAGGUCGGUGGAGCGUAAUCCCAAAAGAGAGUCCUGAUUGGACUCCAGAGGGGGCGGGCGUCCUGGUCCCUAGGGCGGGCGCCCUGGGCCAGGCCCUGUUCUGCCUCCGCUUCGUUCCCGUGACUUCUGGAGUCUUCUAGAUGUAAGAUAAUUGCGCGGCACGUUAAUAUCUCUAUGACCCGACGUGUGGGCCUUUCUUCCGUAUUUCCCGAUAACCCCCUGCAGAAAUAGACAAACACCAAAACUCAUGGAAUUCUGUCAGAUAAAACCCUAAGUCUGGAUGUUGAUUGCAUUUGGAUCCUUUUCUUUGUUUAUUUGAUAGUUAAAUUUGAUACUUAAGGACCGUCAACAAACUCCCCCAAGCUUACCUCUUGCUCGUCCCUGAGCAAGGAUAGACUUAGCGAUAGACAAGAAGUUGUUGCAAUGCCUUUAAAAGUUGACGGUACACAUGCUUUUAAAUGAGGUCUCAUCCCUAAGUUAGAGUAAACUGUCAAGACUUAAAACUUACUUACUUUACCUUUCACCAUGGGACUGGUAACCGUCACUUCUGUCUUGAGUAGUUAAAAGAUAGAACAGUAUAGCCAAGUGCCAUGUCUCUUAUUCUUGAUCAGCUAUAGCUCUGGAGUUUUUGUAGAUUUUCAAAUAAAACUCAGAGAUUCCUUGUAUGACUCUCUCAGAUCUCUCUUUUGUGGUAUUUCUGGAUCCUUACCAAGGCAGUGAUGGUAUAUGCCUUCUCUCAAGUAUGUAGUAUUUGUGGUAUAAGGCAUAGUGACAUUGCCUUCUCUCUCACCCUACUCUAAUAAGGCUUUAAUAUCUAGAGCUCAUAGGUGGGAUAUAAAGUAUACAUACUCACAAGACAUUUAUUGUAUAGUCAAACCAUAGAUCUAGAGAAACAAGUCAAUAAGUCAAAUCAAGAUGUGCAUAUGAAGCAAAUGAAUGGUGUAUGACGAUGAUGGUGAUAACAAUGGUGAAAGUCUAAUUCUACUUUUGCUCUUUUGAGGGGAUAUAUACCUUCCUUGCUCUUUUGAAACUUUUUGAGGAGAAUGAGAUGCUCUAUAUUUUCUUUAUCUUUCCUCUCAGGUGGGUAUUUUGUACCCCUAAUUCUACUGUCGGACACUUGUCCAUUUUUACCUCUAGUCUCACUUUUUCUUUUCUUUCGAGGUUCCGGGCACUUGCCCCUUUUUAUUUCCUCGUAUCGCUCUUUUCUUAGAGCACUCAUGUAAGUGCAUUCGCUCCUGAUGUGGGUUUUGAUAAUUAAUGACAACCAAAUUAGGGACUAACAUGUUUAUCGAGCAUAAUCUACAGGUGUUAGUCCAUUGAUGGAAUUGAACAAAAACAUUCGGUGAAUUAUAGCACCCCUAAAUUUCCAAUGGAUGAACGGUGUUUUGACUCAAGUGGCUACAAAGUUUUUAUUCUUUGCUUGAGUUAUAGGAAACGCCGCACUAUCAAGAGGGAUGCAAAUUGAGUUGGUAAGAUGAGGAUAAAAGUGCUCAGGUCAACUUAGCUCUUGCGCUUGAGAGACACACUUGCACGCACGAACCACUAGGAAAUUUCUUCUCUGCCAGGGUGUGCCGGUAGUACCGACCCUCAGGGCCGGUGGUACCGGUAGUGCCAGUCCUUCUCCUGAGUUUUGCGAGAAAAUGAACUACCGGUAGUACCGGGCUCGGGCCGGUGGUACCGGCCAGCACCAGUAGUACCGGUGUGAAACGCCGGUAGUACCGGCAGGCCAAAUCUGCGCUGACUUUGGUUACGGAGAUUUGAAUUGCUGGUGGUACCGGCCUUCCACCGGUGGUACCGGGAAUGGUCGGUAGUACCGACAAAAGCCCGGUGGUACCGGUAGGCUUAUUUCUCGCAAAUCCUAGAGACUUCUUACCGUUAGAUCUGAGGUAGCCGGUGGUACCGGUGGUUGCCCUGGUAGUACCGGCAGUUGUUCAGGAUCUGUGUAUAAAUAGCUCUUCCCUCAUUUCUGACCGUUAGCUCUCCCAUUCCUUCAACUCUACAUUUGAGAAAAUAGUCUCCAAGCUUUGACUCACCCACUCUCUCUCCCUCUUUGCUCCUAGACUUCACUCCUUGAGAGAUUCGAGCUAGAGAAGUGAGAUUAGAGAGUUGGGAGCUUCGAUUUGUGACUUGAGCACUUGGUUUCUUCGUCUUGCCGGUUUGGUUUGCAUUUGUUACUCUUGGGUUCUUGGAACCCUAGCCAGCUAGGCGUUCUUCGUGGUUGCCCGUGUUGAUUCAUUUGUGAGGGCACCCCGAAGUGUUUGUAUAACCCUUUGAUUCUUAGUGGAAAUCUUGAGCUAACCUGUGUGGUUGCUUGAGGGAGGAGACCUAAGUGGUCGGACCUUCGUGGUCACCUCAACAGUGGGGAUUGCCGAACCUCGGGAAAAAUAUCUUGUCUUGCUGUGGAGGUAGCAUCGACUACCCUUGUUCUUGUGUUCUUCGUGUUCUUCCUCUGUACUCCCUUUCAUAGGUGAACAAGGGCCGAUCUACGUUUUGGAGAAGAACCGAGCCAAGGGAACUUCAACAUCAUCCUCUACUACAUCUUGGAGAGUGGGGUAACUCUCAGAUCUGAAAUCAAAACUCAAUCUACUCUGAUUUCAUAGCUCUCAUAGGGCGUCGGUAGUAUCAACAGUUGCGUCGGUAGUACUGGCUAUCUUACACCGGUAGUACCGGCCCAAACUGUCGGUAGUACCGGCAGGCAUUUAACUUCCGCAACUUGAGCUUUUGAGUUUCAGGUUUUUAAGAUACGCCUAUUCACCCCCCUCUAGGCCAAUUAGAUCCUUUCAACUCAUCUCAUAAUAUAGCAAGUGGUAGUAACCAAGAUAACUUGAGCAUUUAUUUCACAGGGGAAAAAUAGAAAUAUUUUUGGCUAUUCUCUCCCGAAUUAGGAGUAGAAUAUUUUUGGGUGGUUCUGGAGAUGGAAAUGAGUGGAUAUAUGUGGAUGCGUAUUUCCGGAGUAGAAGCAGCAUAUGUGAGUGAACGUGCAAGUGAAUCUUGAUUUAACCACAAGACAAUCUCCUAAGGGUCUACACAGCUUGACCACACUCAAUGAUCAUAAGUAGUAAAAAAUAAAUGUGUGGCUCAAAGUCUAGCAAGCAUGUAUAUAUGGCUGUGGUAGGAAUUUAAACUCUCAUCAUACAGGAACUCAUCAUGUGAUAUUUUAAAGAUUUUUUAAAGAUAAAAUUCUCCAGAAUUCUAGCAUCUCUAGGAACAGAUAAACAGCAUCUCAACCUUCCCAUAUCAUAUCCGUUAACAACUUAGACUUUAGAUCAAGUUUUCUUCCCACAAGUUCAGGUUUAGAAGCAAGCUUUAAAUUAUAACAGUUAUGUCUAAACUUGAGAAAGAACUCAAAUUUGAAAAUUAGGCAGAGCAACUAUUCAUCAUAUCCAUGCUAGAGUUUUAUUAUUAAGAUUCAGUUUAGCAUAGCCACUUUAUUUAUUUAUUAAGCACACUAAGCAAAAGAUAUAUAUAUAUAUAUAUAUAUAUAUAUAUAUAUAAGCACAAAAUCUUUAUUUGGUUUUCCAUAGUUAUGUAUAUUUAUAUUUUAAUAUAGUAUAAGUAUAAAGAUAGAUAUAAAUACUUAGCGGGAUAAAUGGGGGUGCUCUCCCCCAAGCUGAAUUUUGAUAUAAUUUCUUCUGAUGUAGCUAGCAGGUGGCAGAGGUGUAUUUGAAAGUCGGCAGUAUCCUGACAGCGAUUAGAAUGUCCUCCGUCUGCUAGUCUUCUUGAUUCUUAAAUUCUCUUGGCAAGGCGUUCGGUGUUUUUAAGUCCUCCGAACAAGACUCUCCGUUUUCUCAGUUGUCCUGGGGUUCAUUGGGUGGCGUAGUCGGUGCUUCCGGUAGCGCCUCUUCUUUAUAAUACCCGAUUUUAAAGACAAAACUAGAUAUGCACCAUAUGUGAGUUUUAGAAGCCAAAUCCCACAUAUAGCUACAAAUAAAGGGUAAUAUCAAAAGAGAAUGCAUAAAUAUAUAACGUACUUAGUAUAAAAGAGAUAACCUUUGAUAGCAAACAGCGCAUAGACUACUCCAACUUCGGGUAUUAACUUCUCUCUACAGGAUCCAACUGACUGGUUGAUAACAAGCCUAAACUUCUCCUGAAGGGUGGGGGAAAUAGCAAGAGUGAGUCCAUGUCGAACUCCACAAGUAUAGCAACUAGAUUGUAUAGCUCUCACAAUCUCAUGAUCAAUGUGACAUAAAUAAUGUAAAGCAUUAAAUAAUAAAUAAUGAGCAUAUUUAACACACAAGAAUCAUCAUCGUCGAUGCAAGAAUCCCUAAGGCCGCUUUUGACCGUGAGCAUGACUAGUAUACCAGUUUUAACACUCUGCAGAGGUUGUACAUCUUUACCCAUGAGUCAUGAUUUACCCUUUCGCCCGAGGUGAUCAGCCACUUAACCCACUUCCAAUGAAGGUUGGUAGGGAUCACUAUGAAGCCUUUCAAAAGUUCGUCUAACAUGUUUGAAAGCCCUAGUUUGGUUUUGGAUAAUUGAUGAAACCCUAGUACUAACCUCUAUGCUAAGUGUGUGUAGACUUAAUGAGGUUGGUACAUGCCAAGUGAUGGAGCAAGAGAUGAUCAUGGUGAUGAUGGUGAUAACCUCAAGAUGAUCAAGUGCUCAACUUGGAAAAGAAGAAAGAGAAAAACAAAACCCUAUGGAGAUCAAGGCAAAGGUAUUGCUUAGGGUUUUGGUUUUGGUGAUCAAGACACCAUAGAGGGUGUGAUCACAAUUAGGAUAGAUAGCCGUACUAUUUAGAGGGGUAAUCUCGUUGUGAAAACGGUUGUCUAAGUGCCACUAGGUGAUUGGAUUCCUUGCAUGUGCAUUAGGACCUAGUGAGCUAACUAAGUAACCCUUGAAAAAUGUUUUUGAAAUAUGCUAACACACGUGCACAAGUGUGGAGAAACUUUGGUGUUGGCACAUGGAAGCAAGGAAAGAAGCUGAGUUCUUUGUGUGCAGCGCGUUCAGGCCGGACGCGUCCGGUAUGAGGUCGGACGCGUCCGAGUUGAGGCACCGGACGCGGAAAGAGUUUUCGCGUAGAGUCCGGUGUGCCUCGUCCGGUGAGUUCGUUUCUCGGUGAAACUCUCUGAGUUUGCGUCCGGUGUGAACUAGGACGCGUCCGAGUUGGCGUCCGGUGCAAGCUCCUCUUGCAGAGCUCUCUGGGUGUGAGUCUGGUGCACACCGGACCGUCUGGUGUGUGCGUCCGGUGUGGCGACCGGUGUUGGCUCAAGUUUGCGACGCUCUCUGAGUUUGGGUCCGGUGCACACCGGACGCGUCCGGUGUGAACUAGGACGCGUUCGGUAUUUCAAAAGUGAGCGUCUGGUGCCUUGUCAGUGUCAGAGACAACGGCUACUUUUCUAACGGUCAGGAGCACCGGACGCUGGUCUGGCUCAUACCGGACGCGUCCGGUGUGAACUAGGACGCGUCCUGUGUGAACGCAGACAGUGGGAUUUCCUGCCAACGGCUAGUUGAAGCUUGGGACUUCUAUUUAUAUGCCUUGGCUGGUUCUUGCUCACCCUCUUGACUCUCUAACUUGUUGAUACACCUUGUGAGCAUACUCCCACACUUCCCACUCACCUUGUUCAAGAUUUGUUCAUCCAAAGUGAGAUUAGGAGAGAUCCUAGUUGCAUUUGCUUAGAGUUUGAGCAUCUAGUGGCACUAGUGAUCGUUGAGCAGCGGGUUUGCUUGUUACUCUUGGUGGUUGCCGCCACCUAGACGGCUUGGAGCUGCGGAGGAGCUUUGGCAUGAGUUGGUGAUUGUUCGUGGCCAUCUCCCGGUGAUUGUGAGAGGUUUGUGCCUACCUCGGCGGAGAGCCAAAGGCAACAUUAGUGGAUUGCUCGUGUCAUUGAGCUACCUCACUUGUGGGUAGGUUCUUGUGGUGUCCUAGUGAGGACGAGGUUCGUGCUACACCUCUUAGCCUCCAAACCACCAAGUGUUGGUCGACACAACGGGGACGUAGCGUGCCGGCAAGCACGUGAACCUCGGGAGAAAAAUCGGUGUCUCAAUUGUGAUUGAUUGGCAUUCUUCCGGUGCUUGAUUGUUGAUAUAUUUGGUGAUUGGUUCAUCCCCUACACGGCGGUAUAAAUAUCUUUUCCUCUCCUUUCACUUACCGCAAAGUAGUGUAACUAGUUUUAGUUGCUAGUUUUGUCUUGUGUAGUUAAGCUCACUAGUGUAACUUGUAGAAGACCUAGAGCUUGUGUGCUUAGUGAUCAUAGCAACUAGAAUUGUUGGAUAGGUGGCUUGCAAACACCCUCUUUUAGAGCUAGAGCAAAAAGCUACGCUUUGUUUUUUACUAACCUCUUGCUCUAGUGAGUUUGUAGAUUUUUUUAAUAGGCUAUUCACCCCCCCCUCUAGCCAUAUUAGGACCUUUCAAGUGGUAUCGGAGCCGUGGUCACCGUUUGUGAAGGCUUAACAACCUCGGUGCUCAAAUUAUGGCUCAAAUAGUGUUCAACCAUGUUGGGGGCAAACCACUGUUUUUUGAUGGCACAAGUUCUUUUGACUAUUGGAAGAGAAAGAUGAAAAUGUAUCUUGUAUCAAUCAAUGAUAGAGUGUGAGAAGUCACGGAGAAUGAUUUUGUGAUCCUUGACCCCGCUAACCCAACCGACAAUGAGAGAGCAAACAAGCAAUGCAAUACUAUGGCUCUCAACACAAUCUACAAUGGCAUUGAUUCAAAAGUGUUUGAACAAGUCAAAGAUCUUGAGAAGGCAAGUAAAGUGUGGACAAGGCUAGAAGAAACAUAUGAGGGCACUACAACGGUAAAAAGUGCCAAGUUGUAUAUGCUCAAGGACAAGCUAUCCAACUUCAAGAUGAAGGAUGAUGAGUCAAUCCCGGAGAUGUUCUAUAGGCUCCAAGUCAUCAUCAAUGAUCUCAAGGGACUUGGUGAGAAAGUGAAGGAUGAGGACUUCAUUCACAAGUUCUUGAUGUGCUUGCCCAAGAGGUUCAAGACAUUGAGAACCAUCAUAUUUAGAGGAGGAUUGACGGGUGUAUCUCCCAAUGAGGUACUUGGAGAUGUCAUGACCGAAGAUCAAUAUAAUGACAAUGAUGAUGAUGAGGUCAUGAAGAAGGAUGAUGAUGACAAGAAGAAGAAGAGUGUAGCAUUCAAAGCUAGCUCUUCAUCCAAGAGCAAGAACAAGGACAAGGCCAAGAAGGAAGAAUCAAGUGAUGAGGAGUGCUCCAAUGAUGAUAGUGAUGAUGAAGCACUAGCACUCUUUGUCCGCAAGUUUGGCAAGAUGAAGAAGAAGAAGGGCUAUCACACAAGAAAGAGAAGAGAUCACUUCAAGAACAAGGAGCAUGUGAGGCUAUGCUACAAGUGCAAGAGCCCCGAUCAUAUUGUGGCGGAUUGUCCUUACAAUAGUGACAAUGAUGAGCAUGACAAGAAGAACAAGAAGGAGAAGAAAGAAAAGAAAGAGAAGAAGAUGGUCUUCAAGAAGAAGAAGGGUGGAUCCUAUGUUGUGACAUGGGAUAGUGAUGCUUCCUCGAAUGAUGAUUCUAGUGAUGAUGAUAAGGCAUCCAAGAAGAAGGCACUUGCAAGCAUUGCUAUCAACAACAAGCCAUCACUCUUCGAUACUCCUUCAUGCUUCAUGGCCAAGGGCCACAAGGUACAAUAUGAUGAGAGCGAAAGUGAAAGUGAAAAUGAACAUGAUAGUGAUAGUGAUGAUGAAAAUGAAUUCACUAAUGAACAACUCAUGGACAUGCUAGAACAAGCCGAUUCACUUAUUCAAUCUAAAAACAAGAAGUGCAAAGAAUUGGCCAAGAAGUUAAAAGCUCUUGAGCAAUCCUUUGAUGAGCUCAAUGCUAAUCAUAAGAGGCUAGUGGAAGCCCAUGAGAAGCUUGGCAUGGCUCGCACCAAGCUUGAAAAAGCUCACUCCUUGUUAUUAGAAGAGAACAGGGAAAAGGUUGUUGUAUCAUGUGAUGUGGGCACAACAUGUGACUUAACUAAAGAAUCACCCAACCCACCUAUUGUUGUUGCCACUAACUCUUCAUGUAGGUCUUCAUCCACCACCACCAACUCUACCUCUACUUCUAGUGUUAGUGUCACUUGUGAUGCUUCACUAAAGAUUGAGAAUGAGACUCUCAAGAAAGAGGUGGAUGAGCUCACUCACGCCCUAGGCAAGGCCUAUGGUGGUGAGGCCCGCUUGCUAAAGUGCUUGGGUAGCCAAAGGUUUUCUCUCAACAAAGAGGGAUUGGGCUAUAUCCCCAAGAAAGGCAAGGCGGCCUUUGCAACUCACAAACCUAGCUUUGUGAAGAGCAAUGGUCGGUAUUGCAACAAAUGCAAGCAAGUUGGGCACCUAGAGCUUAAUUGCAAUAAAAUGAACAAGAACAAGAAAAAUGCUAAUGCACCUUACAUUCCUUUUGAUUCUUGUUAUGUGCUUACCAAGGGUGAGAAGGGUGUGCAUGCUAAGUUUGUUGGUACACCAAUUGUGGGUCCAAAGAAGAAGGCCAUUUGGGUACCAAAAAGCUUAGUCACUAACCUCCAAGGACCCAAACAAGUAUGGGUACCUAAGAAACAUUGAUUUGUUUUGUAGGUAAACUAUAAAGCCGGAGGAAGGCAUUGAGUGCUUGAUAGUGGGUGCACACAACACAUGACCGGUGAUUCAAGAAUGUUUAAUUCAAUCAAUCCAAAUGAUGACAAUGGUGUUGAUAGUAUCACAUUUGGUGAUAAUGGCAAAGGCAAGGUCAAAGGGCUUGGUAAAAUUGCUAUAUCCAAUGACUUGAGCAUUUCCAAUGUGCUACUAGUAGAGAGCUUGAACUUCAACUUGUUAUCCGUAGCUCAACUUUGUGAUCUUGGUUUCAAAUGCAUAUUUGGAAUUGAUGAUGUAGAGAUCAUAAGUGUAGAUGGCUCAAACUUGAUAUUCAAAGGUUGCUAGUUUUGUCUUGUGUCGUUAAGCUCACUAGUGUAACUUGUAGAAGACCUAGAGCUUGUGUGCUUAGUGAUCAUAGCAACUAGAAUUGUUGGAUAGGUGGCUUGCAAACACCCUCUUUUAGAGCUAGAGCAAAAAGCUAUGCUUUGUUUUUUACUAACCUCUUGCUCUAGUGAGUUUGUAGAUUUUUUAAAUAGGCUAUUCACCCCCCCCCUCUAGCCAUAUUAGGACCUUUCAAUGUUUGGGCCGCAAGGUUUCCUUUGGCACAAUGACUCGCAGCCUAUACACAUACAGACAGAGGCCACACUAUACCCAAAACGGUUCAGCCCCUCCGACCUUUCGGGUAACCUCUAACAAGCUAGAAAAGGUCUUCAUACUGAGCUAAAGCCAGAUCCAUUAUAGCCCUUAUGGUUGCACUGUUGUCCCGGUUAUCAUUUACAGAUAAAUCAAGUUCCUAAAAAGUUAUUUUUAUCAUUUAUUACUUAACAUUAAUCUAGUCACAGGAUCAUGGUCACAGAAUAAAAUUCAAAUGUUAUACUUGCCUUAAUCCAUUUGCUCUUGCUGAUCCUUUUAGUUCUGCUGGUCUUACUUGUUGCCAAAGCUCUGAUCUUGAUCAGCAAAAACUGCUUUCCGUCUAAACUCGAUCGUCGAUCGCACAAACAAGCGGAAACAAACAUACACGAAGCAAACAAAGCUACAAUUAGAACAGUACACCAAACAUAUAAAAAUAGUAUGAAAAGUUUAUAAAAUGAUUCUACGCAUCGCUACGAUUUCAAAGGCGUAAAGUUCACGAAAAUCGGAGUUAAAACGGUGAAGUUAUGAAUUUUCUAAGAUUUCCUAUAGAUAAAUAAUUAAUUAAAUGCUACUGCGAAAAUAAAAAGUUUCAAAAUAGAGAAAUAAUACUUCUAACAUGUAGAGCUCGUAAAUACAAAUCUAACAAAAUUUGAAUGGACAAAAACGGAGUUCAAAUGAUUAAACUGCGCAUGAUUAAAGGUAGACCGAUUAAAUAAUGGUGGAAGAUUUUGGAAAACUACCAUAACAUGCCUAGUUGCCGCUCGAUGUCCAGGAGACUCAUUGGCCAUAGCUUGCAAUGGCCAGAGGACAGCUGCAGGCAGCACGUGCGGCGCACAGGCAACAACGAUGAAUUAGACGACAUCAAAAGGAGAUGGGCUUCGCUUCUUACGUGCAGCAAGUGCAGAUAAAAAGGAGGCAUCCUGUUCCUUCGUGACUUGAUGUUUAGCUUGCUGAACGAGAGAUCAGGUACUGAAUAGAAAGAAAAUAAGAAGCAAAACAAAUGAUGAGUACUGAACAAAGAGAGAGUCACGCACCAGAAGAGACGAUGAUGAUGAGCACAGGCGAUGGACUAGAGAGAUGACAAAAAAAUAUAUAAUUUACUACCGUGGAAUUUCCAGACUAGGGGCUCUAUUUACGGUAUUUUUUGUGUUUCUCCUAAAGGGUUGGCACAUAUAUAUAUGGAGGAAAACUCUCCACAUCUACAUCAAUUAACAAUAUGGUACUAAUUGAUGUUGCCCCUUCCACCUUUACUAAUAAGCCUAAUUAAUUAUUAAAGCCCACUAGUAAAUAAAUACAUUGGCCUUUGAGAUCAUGGGUUCAGCGUUUGGGUAGAAUGAAAGAUUUAUUAUUUUCGAAAUUAAUUAUUUUUGUGAAUAGGAUAUUUUUAGAAAAGUCCAGAAUUAUUAUUUAAUUCAUGAAAAAUAUUUCAAAAGCUCUAAAAAUUCGGGAAAAAUUCUCGGAGUUAUUAUGAAACAUGAGGAACCCAAAUAAAGUAUUUGAAGCUCAUGAUAAGAUAAUUCGGAGCAUCUAAAAAUUAAAUUAUGCUCACAGUCAAGUGGGAAAAGUUUCACAAAAAGUGUUGGAAUAAAUCUUGGUCAGUUUUUAGAGAUUGAUUGAUGGUUGAGGAACUGAAAGGAAUGAUUUGGGUUACAAAGAAAAGAUUUUGGGAUACUCGAAACAAAAGCAUAGGCUAGAAAACAAGGAAUUUGAUUGUAGAAAAAAAAGAUAAAUCCGUGCCGAAGAAGGGAGAUCGACCUAGUAACGUAUUUUAAACACUCCACUCACUGUCAACACACAAAGGAGCAAUAAGCAAACAUUACAUCAAAUCUUAUGCACCAGCAUGUAUGCACAACAAUAUUGCUAUGCCUUAUGAUAAAUUUUAAUUUACUAAAAAAUGUUAUUUUUCCUAUAUUUUCAUGAGCUCAAAAAUACCAAAUUAAAUUAUUUUAGCUCUAUUUUGAAAGGACCAAAAUUUGGGGUGUUACAUUCUUCAUGUAUAGUUAUCUUCUCUCUCCACAUUUUACUCGGUGGUAUGGUUUCCUCAGGAUAAUCUUGUUCAAGCUGUAUGUCUUCAGAUCUUAUCACUUCUCCUUCAUAGUCUGCCCAUCCAUCCUUGAUGAUUUGCCUCUUCUGGUUGCGGUUGCAUCGUCUUCUUCUUGUCCUGACUUGCUUAGAGUCUUCAAUGAUAUAGUUAGGGUCAGUAAAAUAGCGGCGUACCUUCUCUAAGGGUAAGUGCAUAUGGACUUCUCCAGUUCCAAUGUAGAUGAUUGCUUUAACGGUGUUGAGGAACGGUCUUUCAAGGAUGAUGGGUGGAUCGUACUCGUCUUCUCCCAUGUCAAUAACCUGAAAGUCUGUGUAGACAAAAUGAUCGUCUAUCUUGACAGGGACAUCAGUUACUAUACCUUUAACCUCUCGAAAUGUCUGAUCUGCCAUCUGGAGCUGAAUGUAUGUUGUUUUUAGGGGCAUGGUUCCGAACAAGAGCCGAUAGGUGACUGAAAGGUCCUAAUAUGGCUAGAGGGGGGGGUGAAUAGCCUAUUAAAAAUUCUACAAAACGCUAGAGCAAGAGGUUAGUAAAUAACAAAGUGAAGCUUUUUGCUCUAGCUCUAAGGGGUGUUUGCAAGCCACCUAUCCAACAAUUCUAGUUGAUAUUAUCACUAGGCACACAAGAGCUAUGUCUCUACUUACACUAGAGAGCUACCUAAAGUUUCUACACAAGUAAGUAAGCUACUCUAGUUUGCAAGAAAGUAAGAGAGAAGGUUUGAUCUUUAUACCACCGCGUAGAAGGGAUGAACCAAUCAAUAAUAUAAAGUCCAAUCACCGGGAGAAAUCCAAAGUACAAUCACAAUGGAGACACACGAUUUUCUCCCGAGGUUCACGUGCUUGCCGGCACGCUACGUCCCCGUUGUGUCGACCAACACUUGGUGGUUCGGUGGCUAAGAGGUGUAGCACGAACCUCGUCCUCACUAGGACACCACAAGAACCUACCCACAAGUGAGGUAACUCAAUGACACAAGCACUUUACUAGAGUUACCUUUCGGCUCUCCGCCGGGGAAGGUACAAGACCCCUCACAAUCACCGGGAGAUGGCCACGAACAAUCACCAACUCGUGCCAAUCCUCCUCCGCUGCUCCAAGCCGUCUAGGUGGCGGCAACCACCAAGAGUAACAAGAAAACCGCAGCUAGAACGAUCCCCAAGUGCCACUAGAUGCAAUCACUCAAGCAAAUGCACUUGGAAUCACUCCCAAUCUCACAAAGAUGUUUAAUCUAUGAAGGAGAUGAGUGGGAGGUGUUUGCUUAGGCUCACAAGGAUGUUAUGUAUGUUAGAAUGCCAAGAGUAUGAGCCCCAAGCCGGCCAAACACGUAUUUAUAGCCCCUCAACCAAAUAGAGUCAUUGGCUCUUUUCACUGAGCAAACUGCGGGGUCACCGGACGCUCUUAAAGGGGCACCGGACGCUCAACACCAGCGUCCGGUGCUUCAACGUCAGCCGCGUGUCAGAUUCUAACGGUAACCUGUAGAGCACCGGACGCUGAGCAGGUUGGCACCGGUCGCGUCCGGUGCACACCGGACUCAUGCGCAGAGAGCUUCGCAAACUCGCAAGGUCACCGGACGCGAGCCACCGGACGCACCCUGAGCGUCCGAUGCUCACCGGACUCAUGCGCAGAGAGGUUUGCAAAACCUCCUCACACCGGACGCUCCAAGCUGCGUCCGGUGCCUAUCGUCCGGUGCCUAACCCUAACCGAGUCAGGCUGCCUGCUCACCGGACGCACAGGAACAGCGUCCGGUGCUUCUGAGUCAGCGUCCGGUGAGUGUUCCUCAGCGAGAAACACUCCCGCGACUUCUCCAAUUUUCCCACCGGCGCAAUAGAAAAUAUGCACUUCAUUUUCUCGAAAAGCGCCGAAUAUGCGACUACCCAUCCUCUCUCUACCUUUCAAACUCCACCUCCUUCUCAAAGUGUGCCAACACCACAACGUGUGUACCAACAAGUGCACGUGUGUUAGCAUUUUCACAAAUAUUUUCUUUGAAGGAGUAAAGUUAGCUCACUAGGUUCUAAAUGCAUGCACAUGAACAAUGACACCUAGUGGCACUUGAUAACCGCUUAGCCAAAGAAUUCCCCUCUUUAUAGUACGGCUAUCUAUCCUAAAUGUGAUCACACCCUCUAUGGUGUCUUGAUCACCAAAACCAAAACCCUAAGCAAUACCUUUGCCUUGAUCUCCAUAGGGUUUUGUUUUUCUCUUUCUUCUUUUCCAAGUUGAGCACUUGAUCACCUUGUGGUCAUCACCAACAUCACCAUGAUCAUCACUUGCUCCAUCACUUGGCAUGUACCAGCCUCAUUAAGUCUACACACACUUAGCAUAGAGGUUAGUAAGGGUUUCAUCAAUUAUCCAAAACCAAACUAGGGCUUUCAGUGACUGCGGCCAUUAUGUUGAUGCCCGAUCCGGUAUCGCAAAACGUCUUGUAGAAGUUGCACCCAUUGAUGGAGCAAUAGAUGCUUAGCAUUCGUGGGUCGUCCUUCUUGGUCAGAAACGGUGACUUAAGUCGAUGAUCUUGUCCCUCAUGAACUGCAGUGACCAUCUUAGCUGAUUCGGUCCACACUUGCUUGUUCAUGUUCCUCCUGUUGGUCCUCUUCCUUGAUUCAUGUCGAGAUUGCUCUGGGAUUUGUGUAGUCUUGUUCUUGAAGAAAAACGUCUCCUUUCUCCCUUUGAUGUAGAAACUGAUCUUAGCAGCACUAGCGUAGAUGACAGCUCCUGAGGUGUUUAAGAAUGGCCUCCCUAAGAUGAUGGGUGCCCUCUCAUCAUUACUGGUCUCUAUCACUACGAAGUCUGCUGGGGCAUACAAGGUACCAACUCGGACACAGAGGUUCUUCAAUAUUCCCUUUGGAAAACUUAACGCCUGAUCUGCAAACUGCAAACACAUGGUUGUUUCUAAUAAAGGAUAUGUAAAGAAUUUUUCAUAGAGUACCCUGGGCAUAAUGUUGACGCUAGAGCCAAAGUCGCAGAGUGCUUCUGGGAAGUCCAGCAUGCUGAUGGAGAUCGGGAUGACUGGGCGUCCUGGAUCGCCACUCUUGACCGGCAGAAGGUCAGUAGUAACUUCAGUGACGGGGUUACUCCAAUAGUUACCUGCAUCAAACAUCUCUACAAGAUUUGCAUAUUUUAAUCCUUCCAGUUGUGAUGGUAUACCGGGGUUAGUAGCAGGAACAGCAGCAGCUAUUUGAUUUAAUUGAGAUUCAAUCAUUUUAUUAAAGCUAAUUUGAUUCUUGAUGGCAGUAGAGAAAUUAUCCAUUCUAUUAUUUAUAUUUUCUAGCAUUUUAUUAUUAGAUGCCAAUUUCUUAGAUAGGUUAUCCAUUAGCUUUCCUUGAUUAGACACUAACUCUCUCAGAGGUGGAAAAUUAUUUUUAUUAUUAUUGUAAGAAUUGUUACCUUGAUAAUUACCUGAGUAGUUAGGCCUUUGUUGAUUCCAACCUUGAUUUUGUUGAGGACGGUUGUAGUAGUAGUAGUUGUUGUUGAUGAUGUAGUUCACAUCCUCAAGCAUCUCAGGGCAGUGAUUGCCUGAGUGUCCAGUAUCUCCACACUCCUCACAAGUCAUGUGAGAGUCGUAGAUGUGCAUAACUUUUUUCUUAUCUCCAGCUCUAUCAUCGAGCUUCUUCAUGAGCAGGUCUAGCUUUGCAGACAGCAUGUCUACCUCCUUGAGCUGAUGCAUACCUCCUCCUUUCUUGCGUGUCUGGGUUCUUUCUUCAUUCCAGCCUUGGUUGGACGCCAUCUUCUCCACAAGAGCUGUGGCUUGUGGUAUGGUGAGUGAUAGGAAUGCUCCUCCAGCUGCAGCAUCCAUGGUUUCUCGGGCACUGUUGCCGAGCCCAUGAUAAAACGUCUGCGUUAGUAGCCAGCUCUCCAUUCCAUGACGGGGACAUUCUAGGAUAUAGUCUUAGAAGCGCUUCCAUGGUUGUGGAACGGAUUCAUCAUGUUAUUGCUGAAAACUCGUAAUCUUUCCUUAGAGAGGAUUGGUCUUGCCCAUGGGAAAGAACUUAGCCAGAAAGUUCGUGGAGCAGAGUGCCCACGUAGUAUUCUUCUCCUUUGUAGCGUAGAACCACUGCUUCGCUCUCCCUAACAGUGAGAAUGGGAAGAGGCGAAGUAGUAUAGCAUCUCUGGGGACUCCUGAUAUGGUGAAUGUGCUGUUGGUCUUGCCCAUGGGGACUCCAGAAAGUGUUGGAGAUGAGCACUAGCAUCUUCGUGUGCUUCCCACAGAACUGGUUGGAUUGCACCAUGUUGAUAAGUCCAGGCUUGAGCUCAAAGUUACCAUCGAUCUCUGCAGUAGGUCCAGUGCGGAUGUUGUCCGUAGUGGGAGCUGAGAACUCACGGAUCGUUUUGUUCGCCAUGGGUUCGAACUCUAAAAAUAAGUUCCGGUGAUCUUCUUGAUUGGAUGAACCUUCUUGCUGAAGUGUUGAUGAUCUCUUCUUGAGCUUGGCUCUUGUUUUUCUGAAUAACACUUCGGGAUUGUCAACAAAAUUUUCUGGAAGAUGUCUUCUAUUCAUACAUUACCCUGCAUAAGAUAAAAUAGAAAAAUAUCAGGGUAAAACUGUAUGAGAGAAUUGAUAAGCUCAAUCAUAUUAGUGAUGCGAAUGAUGACUCUAAAUCCUAUAUUCAUUCCUGAUUAGUAAUCAACCUUCCCCGGCAACGGCGCCAAAAAUGCUUGUUGGACAUUCUUAACGUCACUACCAAAAGUAGACUUAGUUUUUUAAUUCUGAUAAUGGCGCCAAAAAUGCCAAACAUAUCCCUCAUGCCACUUAAGCCAAGUUGUCAUCCCCAGCAUGACAUGAGAGACGCGGUAUUGAAAUAUGCAAUUGCUCAUCUAAAUAAAUAAUAAAUGGGAUCUGCAAGCGCACAUAUUAACACCGAUGUAGCAUUUUAACCGGGAAGUAUUCCACGUAUCGUUAUUUAUAUUUUUACCACUGGGAAGGGAUUAGUAACCAUCAAUGUUGAUUAUAGAAUGUAAUAUAGAAUUGAGUAUCUAUCAUUGCAUGUAUAAUUGAGAACAUGUUGAUGCAAAACCUAGUCUGCAAACACAAAGGGCUAAUACCCGAUCCAAACGUUAAGGCGUGCCAGCCGAUUUGACCUUACUAUCGGCAAAGGUGGUAACUCGAAUACUUUAGUCCUGACAACAGCGAUGCGCCCGGAUGUCACGGCUAAGAGGUACUCACGCGGAACUGGAGGAUACGCCGAGCUUGAGUCGAUGAAUUCCUAAGAACUCGUAAUCAAAAAGAAAACGUAUGACGAAGUCGUCGAAAAGUAAAUGCUGGAAUAUGAGUAAAAACGUGUGUUUGAUUGAUUGAUAGAUGAUGUUGAUUACAAGGUCCUAGGGCUUAUAUUUAUACCCUGCUCAAAGAGCUACGACCAGACACGAUUAGAAUUCGAAUUCCAAAUUACACGGAACCCGUAUACAAAACGAUGCGAAUAACUAAGGAAAUAAUAAAACCAUCCUCCGUGACAAACCGAAAACUCCUCCACAUGACAACUGGCAGCUUCCGGACUCCUCCUUCGCAUCAUCGGCAAUCCCCUCGCCAUAGUCAUCGGCAGACCUUUUUACUUGGUCAUCGGCACCAUAUUACUGCCUGAGGACUUAGUCACAUUCAACCUUUCCCUCAUCGGCAACCAUCCUUAUCAGCAACCCGCAUCGUACUGCCACCCUAUUCUGCCAUCCUGGACACGUGCCCAAAAAUGGUGUCAACACAUGCCCCCCAGUUUCGGAGUAUAAAACUAUUAAUGCUCCGAAAUUCUCUGCAGUAAUGAUGUCUUCUCCGCAAUUAAUGCUCCUAAUCUGGUAACCGACAACCUCAAUCUGGACAACUCUGAUCCUAAUCCUCCGCAGAUCUCUCGAAAUCCCCAACUUCCUAAACGGGCAUCUCUUUUAGUCGUACAUCGGCAACAAUACCGUUACAAAGAUCUGCCGAUGCUCUGCCCAGGAGAUUCGCAAAAACGGUUACCUCCCCUCUAUCCGCCCAUCGGCAGGACGACCGUUAUAGAAUAUCACCGAUGGACCGACCAGGAGAUCGCGCACAGUAAAAUAUCUUUAGAUAAUGACCGCUUCCUGUCAAAUCACCUGCACAAUCCCUGGAUUAUCGUGCGAACAGUUACCAUAUCCACUUGAGUACCCUCGGGCCUCUCGGAUGCGGCAAAGAAAUAAGUCAGAUUUGCCCUUGUCCAUCUUGUCCUAUAAAUAGUUCCUUCUUGGGUACUCCUCCCCCAUUGCAUCAUUCCGCCAUCCAACUUCACUUUUCCAGCGGCGGCGCCAUUCUCAAUCCUCAAGAUCUCCGACAAGCAUUCUUCUUCAUCAACUCCGGCGCCCUCCAGCGUCCUCUUCACGACAAGAUGGCCGUUGGCUUCGUCGUCCCUGAGGUCAGACUUCCAUCUCAUCUGCUGUACCUUUUUCUUGCAUUCUUGUUCAUCUACGAUUCAUUCUCACCGAAUAUUUUCCUUUUCCUUUUUCUUCGCAUUUUUAUUCCCCAAAACACCAGGAGUUAUCCAACAAAAUUGUCAUCCCUACCGAUCAACCACAUCUUCAAUGCCUCGGCCCUCUAGGGGAUCCAGAUCCAACCGAUCUUAUCAAUGCAGAAACCAACAGGAUUCCCUUUAGAGCUGAAAACUUUGCUUUAGAUCUAUGGAAAGACACUUUUCGCUCUUGGCCCAGCCCUACUGUAGGGUGGAAAGACUGGUUCUUGAGGGUCAGCAACUCUUAUGAAGUUCAAUGGGGUGAGAGGAAAUUAGCUCAAUGCAUUAGGCUGUCCAUUGCCGAUAUGCACAGGAACGAGUCAUUGCUGAUAGCUGCAUCUUACUUUUGGUCAGACACCCUCAACGCUUUUGUUUUUGGCCACGGCCCUGCUUCUCCUACCCUUGCCGAUGUAGCCAUGCUUACUGGGUUAGAUAUAUCUUCUGCCGAUAGCACCCAUUUUUUUUGAUACCGCCCCCAGUGCCAAAGUGGAGACUCGCGCUAUCGGCGGUUGGUCAGGGUACAUCCAGAAGUACCGCGGGAGAGGACCUGUCACCAUAAAGGAGCAAACCACCUUUCUGAACAUGUGGCUAGACAAGUUUGUAUUCUGUGGUCGAUCGGCAGGACCGACUUCUGUCUAUCUAUCGGCAGCAGAAAGACUGGCUAGCGGCGGCCAAUUUCCUCUCGGCCGUUAUUUGCUCGGCGCUCUUUAUCACCUUCUUCAUCAGGUAGUCCAGAAACUCCUGCUUGGCCAACCUAUCGGCAACUUGGGAGGUCCUUGGUGGUUUAUUAAUAUGUGGCUCAAUCUGCACCUGCACAAGCGCCUUGAUCUCAACUUGUUCUCACAGCACUUCCCAAGAGAUAUAGCCGAGAAUCAUGUGCUGGGUGAAGAGGAAUCGGCAACACGUGCCCCCCUGAACUUUGGCGAAGCUGUUAUAGUCUUACCCGGUUCAGGGAACACUCCGGAUCAGAUCGGCCGAUUCUUCGAGACGCUGUAUGAAGGUCUGGCUAGAGAUGAACGACCAUGGCUGGCUUAUGACGACCCAGACAGCAUGCUCCCUCUGACCUUCAAUCCAUUUGAUGAAGCUAUUGACAGGGACAAUGAGGUGAUGAUGGCAAUCGUGACCCCCAGAGCCAUACCAGUGAAUUUCUUCGGCAGCACGAAAACCUCUCCCCAAACCUAUGAAUUUUAUAAUCCAUCGGCAUUAGCUCGCCAGCUAGCUUUCGGCCAAUUGCCGAUUGCACUUCCUUAUGCCGAUGUAAUAAAGCCCAGAGAGCCCAUCGCCAACCUCCUCGAGUGGACUCGAGUAGCCCAACUACUACCAAAUGCCGAUACGGAUGUAGACCUGUCAGAAUGGGUUCCAGCCGCCUUUAUCACUCAGGCAUACAAGCUAUGGUGGGCAGAAUGGAAAGAGAAUCUGUUCUGCAGAUCAGCCCUCUCAUACCGCGGCAUGAUCGACCCCGAAUAUGAAGUCCCUGAUGAUACUGUAAGUAUUUUAAACCGAUGUCUCAUUUUCCAAUAUCACUCCCAUCGGUAACUCACCCCUGUAUUCCUUUUGCAGAUUGACAACACCCCCCCAUCAGUUAGUAGGAGUGGCAAGCCGAUCGACUUAUUCCCAUCGGGCCCGAUCUCCUCAAUCGGCCAUAAUGCCCCCACUCUGGCUUCCAUCGUGCACAGGGGUGCGCGCCUCAAGAAAGUUACCACCAGGAAAACUCAGACAUCACCACCGGUAACUGCUUCCACUCUGGCACAAGCUUUCAAGGCAAUCUGUUAAAACCCUUUUUUCAUUUACGCUGACUUAUCUUUGUAUCGGCUAUCUGUACUUAUAAACUCCUUUUUGUUGUUGCAGCAAACUGGUGCAUCGGCAAAAGUCAAACGCCAAGGCGCCGAUGCUCCCCAGUCUAGCCAGCCAAAGAGGAAGGGCAUCCACGGUGCUAAGGCUGGAACAAAGCGCCAGAAAGUGGCAACUCCUCCUCCUCCUCCGGUGUUUCCAAUCCCUGUGGAAUCUUCCCCUUCUCCUCCAGACGUCCAGGCACAGCAAGUACUAUCUCCACAACCAACACAGGAAGCACCACAGAUGGAAGAACCCCAGCAGGAAGGACCUCAAACGGCAGUUAUAUCAGCUGAUGUAGGUGAACAAACAGCUGGCCCGGCAGGUGCAGUUACAUCAUCGGUGGUUUCCUCGAUUCAGGCAACUGUUGUUUCUCCUCCGGGUAACAUAUCUCAACAAUACUCCUACCUAUAAACUUAUUCUCAUUUAUUCUUAUAAUCUUUCCUGUCUUCUUUCAGGCGAUAUCGCUCUAUCGGCAACAUUUGCCGAUCAACCUGCAGCUCCAUCGGCCUCUCUGAGUCAAAGGCAAGAAAUCGCCUUGAAGCAAGUAAGUCAUCCACUUUUCCAUCAGUAUCGUCUGCCGAAGUCCUGACCAUAAAAUUGACCUACUUCAUUUUUAUUUUCAGGAACAAGAUUCUCCCAACAGCUUGUUCUCCUUCGCUAUUGAUAUCUUCGAAGAAGAAGGCGAGGAAGCAAGCUCCUCUCGGGCAGUUGGAAUUGUAUCGGCAGAAGCCAGAGCUAAGCUGGAGGAGCUAUCGGCCAUACUUCAUCAAGACACAACUCAACUGGUCAACGAUUCUGACCCAGCCAAAGCCCUGUUCAAGACCCUUAGAGGCCAAAUUCCUGCCGAUGCUGAAGAAACACUCUUCCAUGCUGCACAUCUAGAAAGCCGUCAGCUUCAGUACCAGAGAGCUACUCGACGCCUUGCCGAUAGAGCUGCUCAAAUCCAGCUUUCUGAGGAGAUGAUGAAAGAAAAACUCUUAGCCAAUGAGAAACAUAAGAACAUCGGCACCUUAAAAUCCUCAGGUGAUGCACUGAAGCAGAAAGUGUCUGAUCUAUCGGCAAAAAGAGAAGCUCUACUGGCUGAACUCAAGCAGGUAGAAGACGCUCUGUCCCAAGCUCAGCAAGAAGAGAGUCAGCUGCCGGAGACCAUCAAGCAUCUUGAACAAGAACGAAAUGUCCAUGGUCGCAAAGCGCUGCAACUGAAGAGGAAACUGAAGCCGAUCGAAGGUUCUGCCGAUGAUGAUAUCAAAGAGAUAGAGACAGCCAACCAAAUUCGGUUAACACAAUGCCGAUUCCUGCUCCCCGAUCACAGGUAGAUCCAUCAAAGAAGAGCGUCCAGGGUGCAAUUUCCAAGGUUUCCACUAGGCCGCAAUGUUGAGUCACCAAAUCGGCCAUAACCUGCCCUUUGACCGCCUUAGCCGAUUCGUAACGCAAAUCGAAUUCCGACAGCGCUAAAAUCCAUUUACCGAUCCUUCCACUCAUAAUCGGCAUAGAUAGCAUGUAUCGGACUACGUCAUCUUUGCAAAUAACAGCACAUUCGGCCGACAAUAGGUAAUGUCUUAGCUUGAUACAUGAAAAAUAUAAGCAUAAGCACAGCUUCUCGAUGGCCGAAUACCUGGCUUCAGCAUCAAUCAACCUCCUACUCAAAUAAUAAAUUACUCUCUCUUUCCCUUCAAACUCCUGAACCAAAGCUGAGCCGAUAACCGAUCCAUCGGUAGAUAAGUAUAAUUUGAAGGGUUUCCCUUGUUGAGGUGGAACUAAAACUGGAGGAUUUACUAGAUACUUUUUGAUUUCAUCUAGAGCCAACUGCUGUUCUUCUCCCCAAACAAACUCCUGAUCGGCUCUCAAUUUUAGAAGAGGACUGAAAGCACGAAUUCUCCCAGAUAAAUUCGAUAUAAAUCUUCUGAUAAAAUUCACUUUGCCGAUCAAAGAUUGGAGCUCGGUUUUAUUGGUAGGGGCCACUAUUUUAUUGAUGGCAUCAAUAGAUCUUCGACUAAUUUCAAUACCCCUCUGAUGUACCAUGAAACCAAGAAACUGUCCUGCCGAUACACCAAAUGCACACUUGUUGGGAUUCAUCUUCAAUCCAUGCUUCCUUGUGCACUCCAACACUCUUCGUAAAUCGGCAAGAUGCUUUGAGAAAUCUCCAGACUUGACCACCACAUCAUCAAUAUAAAUUUCUACGAUCUUGCCGAUGAACUCAUGAAAUAUAAAAUUCAUAGCCCUUUGAUAAGUAGCACCGGCAUUCCUUAACCCAAAAGUCAUGACUAUCCAUUCAAAUAGUCCAACAUGACCAGGACACCUGAAUGCGGUUUUUGGAAUAUCCUCUUCUGCCAUGAAUAUUUGAUUGUAACCCGCAUUACCAUCCAUGAAGCUGAUGACCCGAUGGCCAGCCGCAGCAUCAACCAGUAGAUCGGCGACAGGCAUUGGGUAUCCAUCCAUCGGCGUAGCUUUAUUGAGAUUCCUGAAAUCAAUGCACACCCGAAGCUUCCCGUUCUUCUUGUAAACCGGGACGACAUUGGAAAUCCAUUCGGCAUACCGACACUGCCGAAUAAACUUAGCUUCAAUAAGUUUAGUGAUUUCGGCCUUAAUAUCAGGUAGAAUGUUAGGAUUACAUCGGCGGGCUGGUUGCUGAUGUGGCCGAAAUCCAGACUUAAUGGGUAACCGAUGUUCAACAAUUGAUCGGUCUAAACCAGGCAUCUCUGUAUAAUCCCAAGCAAAGCAAUCUUUAUAUUCCUUUAACAAACUAGUUAAUUGCCGUUUACACUCAGGAUCUAGUUUAGCACUAAUAAAAGUAGGCCUAGGCUUAUCACCACUACCUAUAUCUACUUCUACCAAAUCAUCGGUCGAUGUGAAUCCCUGGCCUAAUUUUCCAUCAUCGGCGAAUCUAUCCAUUAAAAACCGUCGUCAGAACCGACUGCUUGGAUCGGUGGAAUCUCAUAAUCGGCAACUUUGAGAAAAUCUUUCUCCCAAACUUCUCCUGAAAUGCACCUAGUCUUUUCAUAAGUAUCCGCUUCUGCCGAUGCGAUAACAUAAGAAGAAUCCCCUGGGACGAUCUCAAUCUUGUCACCUACCCACUGAACCAAGCACUGAUGCAUUGUAGAUGGGACACAACAAUUGGCAUGAAUCCAAUCUCUCCCCAAUAAUAAAUUGUAGGCACCUUUUCCGCUGAUCACGAAAAAGGUUGUCGGCAAGGUUUUGCUGCCGAUGGUCAACUCCGCACAUAUCGCCCCCUUGACCGGAGACACGUUUCCCUCAAAGUCUUUGAGCAUCAUAUCGGUCUUGGUCAAAUCUUGAUCCCCUUUCCCAAGCUUCCGAUAUACUGCAUACGGCAUAAUAUUAAUAGCAGCCCCACCAUCAACUAGGAUCUUAGUCAUUGGCUGCCCAUCAACCCUUCCUUUGAGGAACAAAGCUUUAAGAUGCUGCCUCUCGUUAUCGGCAGGUUUCUCAAAGAUAGUCGUCAUUGGAUCCAGAGCCAACUGAGCUAUCUGAUCAGAAAAUCCCAACUCAUCGUCACUGGCUGGUGCAAGAAACUCCAUCGGCAACAUGAAUACCAUGUUGACGCCUGCCGAUGGACCUUCCUUCUUAGCGUCUGCCGGCUGCCGACUUUCAGAACUCUCUCCUUUAUUUAACUCCUCUUGCCUUUCUCGUUGCAACCUCCUUUUCUGUGUCUUGGUUAAUCCUUGAGGGCACCAUGGAGGAAGUGGCCUUUGCCUUACUGCCGGGCGUCGGUUCUCCCUUGACUCCGUACGAUGUGUGUUAGCAUCUCUGCAAAAUAUGAACUCAUCGAGAACCCGCGCAUUAGCCAUUUCCUCAAGCUCUUCCUGGUUCCUGGGAAAAUACUGGACACGGUCACCGAGCCGAUCGCGAACACUAAGCCUGCCCCCCAGCCGAUCAUGAACUGACGCCCUUCCUCUGAUUGGCCCAUUAAAUCACCGUUCAUCAUCAUGAUAACGCCGAUCGUUCCUAUCGUACCGAUCAUAACCGUUACAUUCAGGGCAGUCUCUGACAGUAGGAAGCUUGAUAUUUUCCUCCCAACAAUGGAUGAAGAAUGGGCAAUUCCAAUGAUCCCUGUGCCGAUUCCACUCCUGUCGGCGUCUUUCUUCUUCCCGUUGAUAAUCUUCCUGCUGGCGCCGAUAUCGAUCUUCCCGUUGUUGCCAUCUCUCUCGAGGCCUUCUAUGAGUUAUGACAAUACCAGACCGAGGAAGUCUUCCUGAGCUAGCUCCUUCCUGGACCAAGCCCUUACUUCUUGCAUCGGCGGUAGUAACUUGAUGCUGAGGAUCUACCGAUGCACUCUUCUCAGCUGUCUCCGACGUUAAGACCUUAGCCUUCCCCUUAGCGUCCAACAUGUUUGUCGGGAAAGGAUGUUGGUCUAUCUUCAUCGGCUUCUGGGCUUUAGAACUAUCAAACUUGAUUCUCCCCGACUCUAUAGCCGAUUGCAGCUGUUGUCUGAAUACUUUGCACUCGUUGGUGUCAUGUGAAGUUGCAUUAUGCCACUUGCAAUAUCUCAUCCUCUUCAACUCUUCUGCCGACGGGAUCACAUGGUUAGGUGACAGUUUGAUUUGACCUUCCUGAAGUAGAAAGUCAAAUAUCCUAUCGGCCUUGGCGGUGUCAAAGGCAAACUUCUCUGGUUCUUUCUGCCCAAAAGGACAAGACAUCGGCUUCUUGUUUUUUACCCACUCUGCCAAACCGAUUACUGGUUCCUCGUCGGAAUCUGAGCUUGUUGCUUCGUCAACAAAUGACACUUUCUUAUUCCAUGCCCUCUUAGGUUCGAAAGGCUUGAUGUCUUGAUCAGAUAUCCUCUGCACCAAAUGACUUAAACUCUCGAACUCUUGAGAUGCAUACUUAUCCCUGAUAUGUGGCAACAAACCCUGGAAAGCCAAAUCGGCUAGCUGCCGAUCAUCCAGAACCAGGCUAUAGCAUUUAUUCUUGACCUCUCGUAUCCUCUGCACAAAUCCCUCAACCGACUCAUCAUUACGUUGCCUCAACUUAACCAAGUCGGUAAUUUUCUUCUCAUGAACCCCCGAGAAGAAGUAUCUGUGGAAUUGCUUCUCUAGAUCGGCCCAAGUAAUUACUGAGUUGGGAGGUAACGAUAUGAACCAAGUAAAGGCCGAUCCAGACAGAGAUGACGAAAAUAGACGAACCCUUAAUUCGUCCCUGUUGCCAGCCUCUCCACAUUGAAUAAUGAACCUGUUGACAUGCUCCAUGGUUGACGUGUCGUCCUGUCCGGAAAACUUUGUAAAAUCUGGUACCUUGUACCGAUGUGGAAGCGGGAUCAAAUCAUACGCUGGAGGAUACGGUGUCCGAUAAGAAUAAGUGUUGACUUUGGGUUUUAUCCCAAAUUGUUCCCUCAUUACUUCAGCAAUCUUAUCGGCCCAAUAAGCAUCGGCAUCUUGCCGAUGAGGCGGCUGUGGAUCCGGCACUUGGUGGCGAACCUCCACGUGUCUGUUUGGGACGUGACCUGUAUGGAACAUCGUAUUGGUCACCUGUCCUCCAAUCUGCGGACUACCAAACUGCUGUCCACCGAUUGGCUGUCCUCCGAGUUGCUGUCCAAAAUUUAUUGGCUGGUUGGGAAUUCCCUGACCUUGGAACCCGGGAUAAACCUGCCCUUGCUGGAACCCCGUAGUCUGAUAACCCUGCUGGGGCGACUGUGGAAAGGCUUGCUGUCCAAGCCAUCCAUUAUUAGCGUUCAUCGGCAUGGGUGCUGCCGAUGAUUGGUAAUUGGGUAUCGUCGUUGAAUUGACAUACCCUGGCUGGGCCAUAGGCCUCUGUUGCAUCAGCAUUGACUCUGCCGAUGCGUUGGGCAUCUGGAACAUUGAAUCUUGAGGAUUUCCAGUGUGAGGCCUUGCAGUAGUGGUUGUGGUAUACCGAGGACUCUGGUUCACCGGCACAUUGGAAGGUGCCGAUGUCAUAGGAGUUUUGCCCCUCAUGUCAGUUAUUUGUGAUGUUCCUGGCGUCAACUCUGGAGGCAUACCAUAACCCCACCAGUUGGGAGGAAGAGUUAACCCCGACAUUGCCGAUGCCAACAUAUCUGUUGUCAGUUUAUGCUGCCCGACUGAAAUUUGUGGGUUGGUUGCCAUCGGCAUAGAUAGUGCACCAGUAGUCCCCAAUGUACUUGGAGGGACGGCAGACUGUACACUUGCACUCGUCAAGACAGCCGAUGGAGCCGUGACUUCUGGUGCCGUGGGCUGAUGAUGGGAAGGGCCCACAUAAUCCGGCGGGAUUUGUCCUUCCUUGAAGGUUCUUGCCACGGCGUUGAAAACCGUAUUAGACAGUACACCAGCUUGGUUGAUCAGCGCUCGAUUGAUAGCAUUGUCAACCAUGUCUUGAAGCUUGCCAGGAUUGGCGUCAAAAGUGACCUGCCGUGGUGCCGGCAGUGCAUCUUUCUGGACCACUUCGCCGCUCCUGUUUAUGCUAAAAGACUUCAGGCAUUGCUGCUUGAACUCUUCCAUGGCUUGGGCAAUAGCUUGCUUCUGCUCAUCCUUGAGGUUGGCUUCCGUCACGGGGAUGACGUUGUCUUGAUCGAGGUCAGAGAUCGACAUGCUGAUCUUGAUCUUGAAUCUGUCCCACUGGGCGUGCCAAAAGAUGUGUUGAUGCAAAACCUAGUCUGCAAACACAAAGGGCUAAUACCCGAUCCAAACGUUAAGGCGUGCCAGCCGAUUUGACCUUACUAUCGGCAAAGGUGGUAACUCGAAUACUUUAGUCCUGACAACAGCGAUGCGCCCGGAUGUCACGGCUAAGAGGUACUCACGCGGAACUUGAGGAUACGCCGAGCUUGAGUCGACGAAUUCCUAAGAACUCGUAAUCAAAAAGAAAACGUAUGACGAAGUCGUCGAAAAGUAAAUGCUGGAAUAUGAGUAAAAACGUGUGUUUGAUUGAUUGAUAGAUGAUGUUGAUUACAAGGUCCUAGGGCUUAUAUUUAUACCCUGCUUAAAGAGCUACGACCAGACACGAUUAGAAUUCGAAUUCCAAAUUACACGGAACCCGUAUACAAAACGAUGCGAAUAACUAAGGAAAUAAUAAAACCAUCCUCCGUGACAAACCGAAAACUCCUCCACAUGACAACUGGCAGCUUCCGGACUCCUCCUUCGCAUCAUCGGCAAUCCCCUCGCCAUAGUCAUCGGCAGACCUUUUUACUUGGUCAUCGGCACCAUAUUACUGCCUGAGGACUUAGUCACAUUCAACCUUUCCCUCAUCGGCAACCAUCCUUAUCAGCAACCCGCAUCGUACUGCCACCCUAUUCUGCCAUCCUGGACACGUGCCCAAAAAUGGUGUCAACAGAACAUUUAUCUAACUCUUUCAUACAGGGAUAAGUGUCACAUAAAGGAUAUAUAAAGUAAUGAAUGGUGACAAAGAUAAUUAAUCUGAUCAGCAUAACUUAGCCACAUAAUAAAUAUGAUAAGCACCUCAAUUUUAUAUUGUAGAAAGUCAUUAGCAUGGAAUUAGGAAGAACUACAAGAAUAUUUCCUAAGUUAUUCUUAACUAUAUAGUCUAGCAUAUCAUAGUUAGUGCAAUUAUACUUAGCAAUCAUUGUGAGACAAGAUUAUGCCCAUGCAUAGUGAUAUUAUCAAGGAAUAUGAGAAACAUAGCAAUCACUCCCCUGUAAUAAUGUUGCUCUACCAACCCAAUACACGAGAGGGGGACUAUAUAAGAAUCAAUGGAGCUGUCACUACCACGAACUACCCCGCGAUCUGGCAUAUAGGGUACAAUCGCAGAUAAAUACGAUAUAAGCACCACGCCUACACAAUAUCUAUCAUUUACCCAUGGAUCCGAUGGAUAAACGCUAUACGAUCCUAAACAUGUAUAUAAUUCCAAUCUAACUAAGCCAAGUAUAUAACUAUGAUAAACUAAGAACAAUAUAAUUGCGAAUAUAAACAAGUAGAGCAAAGUCAUAAUCAAUAUAUUGAAGUAGAACAAAGUCAUAUUCAUAAUAUCGAAGAACAAAGAUGAACAAUUGAAGAACAAUAGAGAAUUACCAAGAAUCCUCUUGACAGAUCCGGAAACCAAUCGAAGAUUGACUCCUUCUAGUUCUAAUCCUAUGUAGCUAUGCUAAUCUAGAUAUCUAAUUGAUGUGGUGGCUCUAGGCUUGAUCAGAGGCUUCUUCUCCCUUGAUGAAUAAUGAAUUAGGGUUGAGAGGUCCUCUCCUCCAGGGGCCAGGGGGUCUAGUUUUAUAGUCCUUCCAAGUGAAUAUGGGCCGUCGGAUCAAACCGACAUUGAUUGAACUGUUAUCCUUGAUCCUUUAGGUCGAUGGAGCGUAAUCCCGAAAGAGAGUCCUGAUUGGACUCCAGAGGGGGGCGGGCGCCCUGGUCCCUAGGGCGGGCGCCCUGGGCCAGGCCCCGUUCUACCUCCGCUUCGUUCCCGUGACUUCUGGAGUCUUCUAGAUGUAAGAUAAUUACGCGGCACGUUAAUAUCUCUAUGUAAUCCCGACGUGUGGGCCUUUCUUCCGUAUUUCCCGAUAACCCCCUGCAGAAAUAGACAAACACCAAAACUCGUGGAAUUCUGUCAGAUAAAACCCUAAGUGUGGAUGUUGAUUGCAUUUGGAUCCUUUUCUUUGUUUAUUUAAUAGUUAAAUUUGAUACUUAAGGACCGUCAACAGCCAUCGUCACCACCUGAGGCACCUGCUAGAGCUCCACCAACAUUCUUGCAACGUGCCAUUGCAAGAUCUCAAGUCAAGACUGCCAAACUACUUACAGAUAGAUGAUGAACUAACACUUUUGAGGCUUGGCCUCAAUCUGUACUCGCGGUCGCAGACUUGGCCCCAAGUUCAACUGCCACUAACAACCGAUCCCAAUGCGACUCACCCGCUGCAAUAGAUGGAAUAGAUGAGAUAUAUAUAAGCAAUUAUUACAUCUAGAUAAGUGAAACCCUAAUAGAAGAAAGCAUAGGAUAAGAGAUCAAGAAAGAGUUGGCUUACUGAAGGGUCGAGAUGGCGGACUAGAGGGGGGGUGAAUAGUCCUUUCUAAAACUUAUCGCACCGGCUAACCGAAACAAAUGCGGAAUUAAAACUAUCGGUCUAGCCAAGACUACACCCCUCUAUCUAAGUUCUCUAGCACCUUUAAAAGAUCCUAAACAAGCAAACAAGGUGCUACCUUAGCAAGAGCUCAUCUAACCAAUUCCAGGAGUAAGGUCACACAAACCUAGGCCAGUAGUACUUUGCAAACCGGGGAGCUCCUACACAACUAGUAAGCAAAAGCACAAAGCUCCUAAGCUCACUAGCAAUGCUCAAUAACAAGGCAACCAAUGCCAAAUUAGAGAGCGCAAGUUACUUAGCUACACAAACUAAGCAAUAUGACUAACAAGGUUACACAAACCAAAUUAGUCACGCAAAGGGACUACUUCUAGCUACACAAGCAAGAAGGUAACUAGCAAGCUACACAAGCUAACUAAUAACAAGAGCAACUACACAAGCACAAAUAAAUGAAUGUAAAAACAAGCUUGUGUUAGGGACUUGCAAACCAACGGGAAGAACAAAGUUGACACGAUGAUUUUCUCCCGAGGUUCACUUGGUUGCCACCAAGCUACGUCUCCGUUGUGUCGACCAACACUUGGUGGUUCGGCGGCUAAGAGGUGUUACACGAACUUCGUCCCCACUAGGACACCGCAAGAACCUACCCACAAGUGAGGUAGCUCAAUGACACACACGAUCCAAUAAAGUUGCUCUUCGCGAUCCCCGCGGGGUGAGCACCGUACCCCUCACAAUCUCUUCUCUAGAGCACCGCACAAUCUCCUUACAUGCUUCGACGGAGUCACAAGCCACCAAGUCGUCUAGGAGGUGGAAACCUCUAAGAGUAACAAGCACCACUAGCUUGCAACACGAACACCUAGUGCCACUCGAUGCAAUCUCUCAAUGCAAUGCACUAGAAUCACUCACUCACACAAUCGGAUGAUCACUAUCAAGCAUAUGUGAGUUAGAGGCUUUACUAGCACUCUCCAAGCAUGGACACUAAGUCCCAAGGGUGCUCAGCACUAGCCAAGGCCGGCCACCACUUCUAUUUAUAGCUCCAAGGGCUAAACUAGCCGUUACCCUUCACUGGGCAAAAGUCGACCACACCGGAAGCGUCCGGUAUUGACUAGACCAGCGUCCGGUGCUUCUGACCGGUAGAAAACUAGUCGUUGCCUUCAACGCUGACAAGGCAUCAGACUCUCUCUUUUGAAUGCACCGGACGAUCUCAAGAGGGACCAGACAAAAACACAGAGAGCUUCGCAAAGCAACACAGCACCGGACGCACAACUCGGACGCGUCCGGUGUGCACCGGUCCUAAACUUAGAGAGCUCUGAAAAAGAGUUUGCACCGGACGCUAACUCGGACGCGUCCGGUGUCACAUCGGACGCGUUCAGUGUUCACCAGACGCAAACUCAGAGAGCUACUCGAGAUAGCGUCUUCUCCGGACGAUUUACACCGGACUCAACACAGAGAGUCCGGUAAAAUUGAGCUCACACCGGAUGCUAAACUCGGACACGUCUGACCUCAUACCGGACGCAUCCGGCCUCACAUUGGACGUGUUCGGCCUAUACGCGCUGCACGAAACGAUCUUCAACUUCUUCCCUUGCUUCCAUGUGCCAACACCAAAGUGUCACAACACUUGUGCAAGUGUGUUAGCAUUUUCACAAAUAUUUUUCCAAGGGAGUUAGCCUUUCAAACUUGCCACGCCACUCGAUCCUAACACGUAUGCAAAGUUAGAUCGCUCAAGUGGCACUAGAUGACCGAUAUGCAAACAAUUUUGCCCCUCUUGAUAGUACGGCCAUCUAUCCUAAAUCCGGUCAUCAUCUUCUCUACACACCUAUGACCGGUGAAAUAGAAAAGCCCUAGGUUAUACCUUUGCCUUGCGCUUUCCAUUCCAACUCCUCCAAUGUUGAUGCAACACAUGCAUAAACCAAUCACCAAAUGAUAUGAUCCACUUCAUAUCAUCACGUGACCGUAUUGGUUCAUUGAUCUUGACCUCACUUGCUCUUCACUGUUGCCUCAGUCCAUUAGCGCCAAAUUUUGCUCAAGCUUCACCGUCACAUGCGGUCCCUCGCUUCAAAGCCUCCGACUUGCCCUUCACUCUUGCAACCGGUCCAUCGAGCUAAGCCUCAUCUUGAUCUUCUCCACCUUGGUCACAUGACUCCAUGUCAUGUCUCAUAUGCAAUGAGCUCCUCCAUCAUCACAUCAUCACCUGUGGACUAAUCUCUUGUGUAUCUCACAUAAACACUAUUAGUCCACCUAAGUUGUCACUUAAUUACCAAAACCAAACAAGGACCUUUCACUUACUACCUUAGUUGAGAGACAAUCCUUGUGAAAAGAGGAGAUACGACGUCAACAGGGCACAAGAAGUUUCAUGCCAAGUCACUGCAAACAAGAAUCGAAUGAAAACAGUGUUAAAACGACGUUCUAAAUGGUUCGAGAACUCUAUCGAACACCUAGCGUGCGUGGAACUCAAGAUUUUACCCUAAACCCUAACUGUGGCGUGAAAGGAGGUGCCUUGCUGUGCGUGCAUGGAGAAGGACUCGACGACGGUGGAGGAGGAAGGACACACGCGUGAGGAGGACUAGCCGAACGGCGGCGUGGUGCUGGCGGCGGCGGAUCGACGCAGAGGGUACGACGAGUCAUGGUGAGAAGAUCGCGAAGGACAGACUGACCCAAUGGUUGGUUUUAUCUGAACUUAUAUCAACCCUCGCAGACACACCAGACAUGCUUAAGUGAGCACCGGACUUGUACGUAGGGAGGAGGUUUUUCGCGCAAGGUCACCGGACACGGUCCACCAGACGCUCUCCUGUGUCCGAUGUCGCGGGCGCUUCUAUAGAGGCACACCGGAAGCACAUCACUGAACUCACUCACAUUACUAUGCAUGGGUCUAGUGUGUACACCCCAGCAAGUAACACUCACCAAACGCACAGAGCGUGUCCGAUGCUGCGUCCGGUGCAUCACCGACUUCAAAUUUUCAACGAGACUUCGCGGCACCUUCACUCAACCAAGUUCCAACUCAAAGAAGAGCCAAAUAAACACCAAUUGGAACUGUUAUGAGUGUUCUCUCUCAAACUCCCAAAUUUUCACAAGUAAUUUGUCAUAGGCUAUGUAGUUUUUAAGAAAAUAGGCGAGAGAAAACACCGAUGAGACAUCAUGUGGCCAUUGGCUAGGGGACUUAACCAAGAUGAGCGUAGAAUGCUCCCCAUAUCAAUGGACGAACACAACAGAUGCUCAAUGCUUAAUCGAAAAGAAAUGACAAAGCAAAAACCAUGCAUAUGCUAUGCAAUGCAAUGCAAUGCAAUACUUGAAAGUAAACUAAUGCUUGUCAAGUUUGAUUCAAGGUUAAGCUUUUUGACACGCUUUAUGGGUGGUUAUCUUAACCAUGUUAGACAAGCCCUACAUGCAUCCUUUUUGGAUUUUUAGUAAAGCAUGACAUAUGAUACAAAUGCUAUGUACAAGGACAACACACAAACUCAUUUUUAAUGAAGUUAGAGAGAUCAAGCACAUUGAGUUCAUUUCACAACAUACAAAACCUAGCUUCAUCUAGUGGUUUUGUAAAGAUAUCCACCAAUUGAUCAUCUGUCCCCACAUUCUCUAGUGAUAUGUCACCCUUGGCAACAUGAUCUCUAAGGAAGUGAUGACAGAUGUCUAUGUGUUUAGUGCGGGUGUGUUGAACCGGGUUGUUUGCAAGUUUUACAGCACUUUCAUUGUCACACAACAAAGGUACUUUGUCUAAAACUACUCUAUAGUCUAGUAAAGUUUGUUUCAUAUAAAGAAUUUGUGCACAACAAGCACCGGUGGCAAUGUAUUCCGCUUUGGCCGUUGAUAAAGCAACACUAUUUUGUUUCUUUGACAUCCAAGAUACUAGUGAUCUCCCUAAGAAGUGGCACCCUCUAGAUGUGCUCUUUCUAUCAAUGCGGCACCCGAUAUAAUCCGAGUCAGAAUAGCCUACAAGUUGGAUUAUUGCACCUUUGGGACACCACAAGCCUAGGUAGGAUGUGUAUUUUAGAUACGUAAGAAUUCUCUUAACCACAAUCAAGUGAGAUUCCAUAGGCAUAGCUUAAAAUCUAGCACACAUACACAUACUAAACAUGAUAUCGGGCCUAGUUGCGGUGAGGUAAAGUAAACUAUCUAUCAUAGAACGAUAGAGAGUUUUGUCAAUCGUGUUACCUCCCUCAUCUAUAUCGAGAUGCUGUCGACGAAAGCUGGUCGGCAGUCUACCUUGGGGUAUACCCACGGUAGUAGUUUAUCGGUAGACGGUGCGCAAACUACGAACUCGAUGGUGACGCAAGACACGGACAAGCUUUUUAUCCAGGUUCGGCCGCCGAGUUGGCGUAAUACCUACGUCCUGCGUCUGGUUGUAUUGGAUUGUGUUGAGAGAUAAUCUGUCCUAGGGGGGUCCCUUGCCCCUCCUUAUAUAGUCUGGAGGGCAGGGUUACAGAUCUAGAAACUAAUCCUAGCCGGUUACAAUUGCCAUAGAUAAUUCGAUAUCAAUUCCUAUUCUAACCGACUAGAAUCCUGCUUGAUCUCCACGUCUUGUUUCCUUGCGCGAAACUCGGGCUGUCGGAUCAAGCCUUGAACUCGUCUCGUAGUGGGCCAAGCUUCCUGGCUGAAGUCUAGCCGUAAGGGUAUAGGGGUUUAUACCCCCACAGCUAGUCCCCGAGCGCCAUGUAUUGUGAUGCAACACGCCGUCUUGAGCUUCUUCGAUCAGCGUGGCCUGUCGUCUUCAAUGAGCGAGGAAAUCGCCCAAACGGUUCAUUGAUCAACGUUGUCAUCGAAGAAGCAGGUUGUUCGAAGAAUGCAUGGUGCUCUAAAAAAAUUUCUUUCCUGGUGAAGUGUGCCCACUUUGCCCUUCUUGAAAGGCUGCAGCAUCCAAAAAAGGCAAGCAAAUUCACCGCCAGGUGAAGUGUGCCCACUUAGUCCCCGAGCCUGGUAGUAGGUGACGUAGGCACGUGGUGCCAGGGUCAAGAGAAAAUUCCCCAAAGUAGUUUUGAGACUGAGAUGCAUCGCUAGAUGCAUCGUACCGAUGUAGUCCCCGAGCUUGCUGGAAGGCGAAGUAUGAGCCUUGUAGCAAGGUCUAAAAAAUUGAAUUUAACAGUCCCCGAGCAUGUCAUGCUCAUCUGCAAUCGAAAAGACCAAUCGACCAGUCCCCAGGCACUUAGUGCGCUGCCUGGAAUUAUAUGUUUCUAUACUACACGACCAGUCCCCGAGCGUCGAGUGCUCGGUGGUCGGUGCAUGCUUUAAAGCUUUGAGCUGAUAGACUGAGCGACCCGUCCCCGUGCGUCGAGUGCUCGGUGGUCGGUGCAGUCCUUGAGGUUCCGAGCUGAUGGACUGGGCGACCAGUCCCCGAGCGUUGAGUGCUCGGUGGUCGGUGCAGUCCUUGAAGUUCCGAGCUGGUUGACUGGGCGACCAGUCCCCGAGCGUCGAGUGCUCGGUGGUCGGUGCAGUCUUUGAAAUUCCGAGCUGGUUGACUGGGCGACCAGUCCCCGAGCGUCGAGUGCUCGGUGGUCGGUGCAGUCUUUGAAAUUCCGAGCUGGUUGACUGGGCGACCAGUCCCCGAGCGUUGAGUGCUCGGUGGUCGGUGCAGUCCCCGGACUGCUUACUCACUGGCGUAUGUGUCUUCUUACUUUUGAAAAAAUCUUUCUCAUUAAAGUUGACAUGACGGGGUCUCCUGACGAUAUGUCAGACGGAUGCAUAAAAAGCCGCACCUGGCAACUGUACAACCGCUCUUUGCAUGGUUUGAGAAAAGGAAACCAUCAAUUGGUACGAAAACUCCGCCGCAUUAAUUGCCUAUAAUCAUUGUAAACCGAAACGCCGCGUCCGCCGCAUGGCCUGCCCACUUCCCGAGAAUACAGGAAGUGGGAGAGGUGGGGUCGCGGGUUUAUAAGGGCCUAAUAGGACCGCCUGUACCGCUUCUCCUGCCAUUGCCUUCAAGUCUUCCGCUCUCAUCUUCUCCAAUCUCCUGCAUUUUCCUAGCUCCAGCUCACAUUCGCACCUCUAAUGGCGAAGAGCGAUUCCAGGAAGAGGGCCGAGUUGAUGGCCAAGGAGUGGAAAAAGUCUCGCAGCACCACAAAGUCUCUUGGCGACCUCGUCGACAUGGGGCUUCUGCACGGCGCAGAGCUCGGCGGCUGGAGGGCGCCGGAAGGGGAGAGCUACCCCGACCCUCGCGCCGGUGAGAUCGUCGCUUUUGAGGAUUUCGUCAAGAGAGGCUUUGGUGUUCCUGUUCAUCCCUUUCUUCAAGGUCUUCUUUUGUACUAUGAGAUCGGGAUUUGCAAUCUGCACCCGAACUCGAUUCUCCUUAUUUCCACUUUCAUCCAUCUGUGCGAGGCCUAUGUUGGCAUAGAGCCGCACUUUGAUCUUUUCCGGUACCUUUUCUGUCUGAGGAAGAAGGGAGCAGUUGGAGGCUCCAAGGUUGCAGGUGGAGUAUACCUCAACCUUCGUGAUGGGAUGAAGAAUCGCUACCUGCACUGCCCAUGGAACACCUCCUUGACCGAAUGGUACAGGAAGUGGUUCUACGUCAGGGAGGAACCGGGCAGCUCCACGUUCUGCGACGUGGGGUACGUUCCCGAGAAGAGGGCGAGCUGGACUGACCGCCCAGAGUUCGACGGUCAAGUGGCGGAUCUGAUGAAGCUGAUCGACUGGUCGCGCCUGGAUGGGCUUAGCGUGGUCGGCAACUUCAUUUGCCGCCGAGUGAUGCCCUGCCAGAAGAGGGUGCACUCGGCGUAUGAGUAUGCCGGAAGCACAGACCCGACCAGGAUGCGGUCGGAGAUCCUGGAGAAGGCGGAGGUUCAACAGCUGCUGAACGAGCUGUUUAACUUCGCGGAUGGGGGCUUCACCCGUAGCAGUGAUCGGGUGCAAGCCUUCAAGUUAGGACGACCAGCACCAAAGGUAUGUAGCAGACUCCGUUUGAUCAUUCGUAUGUCGUCUGUAGUUGGCUCAUCUCUGUUACUUUUGCAGGUCGGUGAUGUCGACCGGUGCAUAGUGUUCGUAUCACUGGCACCGGGGAUGGAAGAUCCUGUGGGAGAGGUCCCGCCAGAGGAAGACCGAGCCCGCCCCGUCCCGACCUCCGAGGAGAGGGUGGCGGGGAAAAGGCCAUUGCCGGUGGAUCCCCUGCCGACGCCGGAGCUGCCGGCAGACCUACCGGCGGAGAGCAGCCAAGCGCCGAAGCGUCGUCGGCUCGUGCGGAUCGUCGUCGACGACGACGACGACGAGGAGGCUGCGCCGUCGUUGGUCCGACGGCCUCGGGGCCACCCAGACGCUGCACCGGUCACCACUGAUCGAGUGGCCAGCGGCGCAGCUGCCCCGCAAGUUGCCGAGGUGGGGGCACGGGCGCCGACCGGCCGAGCGAGGAGGAGGUUCACCGCGACCCAUCGGCGGUCGGACCUGUAAGUGUUCAACUUACGUAUUUUGGAUUUUUUUUUUUUAACUUUUGUUCCUGUAGUGCGGCGUCGGAUGUCGACCCUGGCCAAACUGCCGGCCAGGGAACGGGCGAGCCUGCCCGCGGUUCUGGGGAUGCGGCCCCCCAGACCACAGAACAGCCGACUGCUGCAGUCGCGCCUGGGAGCGCCGAGGAGCUCCCGAGCGCGGCGCCGACUACAACAAGCAGCCCGACCAGGGCUGGGGAGGCUCCCCCAACUGACUCCUCGGAGAAGGGAAGGUCUCCGACCGCUCCUCCUGCCGGGGGGAGUGAAGUCCCCCCGCCGCCCCGAGCAGGAACCUCUCCGGCUGCGGGCUCCCCAGGUCUGGUCCCAGGGACGGUGACGCCUGGGACCACCACCGGGGGUGACGCAGCCCAGGAGGAGGAAACCAGGGUGGCCUCCGACGACGAGGUAGAAGAGAUCGAGGGUCGUCCCCGUGAUGGCCGCCAACACGUGUAUGUGUGGCGCCAACGCGGGGAUCACUUUAUCGGUCAUGAGGAGCUUGCCGAGUCCGAAGAGGCCGCCAGGGUGGAGCGCGCGGCCAAGCGCCUUGUCGACGAAGUCAAGGUAAGCGGCGUUUUGAGCUGCCGCGCAUUCCUUUGCCUUGUCUUUUGCGCAUUGUUAUAUGCUUGCUUUGUAGGACGUUAUGAAAACGGCGAAGUACCGGAAACGGUGCUUUGACCAGAUAGAAGGCGUCAUGGCCGAGAACAAGGCCCUUGCCGCGGAGGUAGACCGGUUGCGGGCGGAGGUCGGAGAGAAGGUGGUCGAGAUGAGCACCGAAAAGGAGCGUCGUCUCGACCUCGCUCGUCGCCUGGCCGACCAGUACCGGCUGCAGGAAGGUUAGUCACACGCUCCGAGCAGUUUCGCAUACUUGCAUAGUUUGCUUCGCUGACCAGUUUAGGAUUCACGCAGACUUGGAGGAGGAGGUGGCGAGCCUCCAACAAGAGAAAGAGCAGCUCGGCCAACAGCUCUCCAGUGCACAGGAGUCCGGACGGCGAGCGGAAGAGGAAUUAAGUCGAAAAGAUCGGGAGUUAGCUGGUAAUGGGUGCCGCCUUGUUGGUUGCUACCUGCCCCUUUGCUUGUCUGGUAUGCCGAAAGUAACGUUUCGUUUUGUUUGCAGUGCUCAAGGUGAACACCAAAAAACACCUGGAUGAGCUGGUCAAGGACCGGGACUCCUGGAAGGUCAACUGUUGCAGGAUCUGGAAUGGAGUGUCCCCGGUCCUGGACCUGAUCAGUCCCGAGCUCCCGGAGAGCCAGCCCCGCGCGCCGCAGUUGACCCCGGUCCAAAAGGCGCAACGGGCGUGGGACUGGCUCCAGCAGUUUGUGAAGGACGCCGGGGAGUUUGCCGGCGCGCACGUCCUUAGCAUGGUACGCGCCCACUACCCCCUGGUCGACUUGAGCAGGCUGGAGAAGGGGUACCCGAAGGAAGUCGGCCCACAGGAAGCGGACGAACUUCGGGGUAGUCUGCUGGACUUGUCAUCGACAGUGAUCGGCGACAUCAACCUGUGCGGAACAGCCACUCCUCCAGACCAGCCGAGCUCAGAUAGGUCGGCCAGGGAGUUGUCGGGCGCGUCCUUUGCUGGAGAUGGGCGGUCGACGCCUGCGGUCUCGACCAGCCAGGCGCCGGUGGCCCCGACCCCUUCGUCCGGGCAGCAGGGCCAGGCGGGUGAUCAGCCCGAGCAGCUAGGCCAAUAAAGUAGUCUGUAGGAAUAGACUAGUAUCUGCCCGUCAGGGUAUUUAUUGUAAACUUUGUAUGUAAAGUUUGUAAUAAAGUUUUCUUUUUGUCAUGAGUGUUGUUUUGAGCGCUGUAAAAAUAUCUGAGUGACGUGUCACCGUAUUUGUCUUGGUUGUCGCCAAGAGCAUCCAUUGCAGGAGUUUUGCCGAGUGCUGUGUAUGACAAGGUACAGAGAAUUUUAUUGUCAAAAAUUAUAAGAUACUUACAAAAGAAAGUCGUUAAAACUUUAUGGAUAGAAACGUCGCAGUUUGUCGAUGUGCCAAGAGUUAGGUACUCGUGUUCCGUCUGGGUAUGCCAAUCUGUAGGACGUAGGUCGUGUGACCUCGGUCACCACGAAGGGUCCUUCCCAGGGAGUAGAUAACUUGUGCAUUCCCUCCUGGCUUGUUUUCCAUCGAAGCACCAGAUCACCGACCACGAAGGAACGGUCCUUGACGUUCCUGUUGUAGUAUCGCCUGACUGCCGCGAGAUAUUUUGCUGUUUGGAGACAUGAAACUAAACGCUUUUCCUCCAUGCAAUUGAUUUCGAGUUCUCUGGCGUUGUCAGCGGUCGCCUGGUCGAAGUGCUCGAUUCUAGGAGAUCCGAAGUGUAUGUCGGACGGCAAAACCGCCUCCGCGCCGUACACCAUGAAAUAGGGAGACACCCCUGUGUUUCGACUGGUCUGAGUUCGGAGGCCCCAGACCACUGCCGGCAAUUCUUUCAUCCAUCGACCGGGUGCUCUGUCGUUCUCGGUGUACAGUCUUUUCUUUAGGGCGUCGACGAUCAUUCCGUUAGCUCGUUCGACUUGACCGUUGGCACGUGGAUGUGCCACUGACACAUAUUUUAUGACUAUGCCUCUGUCAUCGCAGAAAUCCCAAAAAGUGGUGCCAGUAAACUGAGUGCCCAGGUCGGUGAUUAUGCUGUUCGGGACGCCGAAUCUGUGUAUGAUUUGAUUGAGGAACUCCACAGCCUUCUCGGAAGUUGCCUUGACCAGGGGCAUGUAUUCAAUCCACUUGGAGAACUUGUCGAUUAACACGAAAACAAACUUGAAGUUGCCCGGAGCUGGUUUAAAUGGUCCGAUCAUGUCAAGCCCCCAGCAAGCAAAGGGCCAAGACGACGGGAUGGUUUGAAUUUCAUGGGCAGGUACGUGGGUCCUCUUAGCGAAAAACUGACAUCCUUCGCAAUGCCGAACCAGUUUUUCUGCGUCGCUGACCGCGGUUGGCCAAUAAAAACCUGCUCGGAAAGCCUUACCGACCAGCGUUCUAGAUGCGGCGUGAUUGCCGCAGGAUCUGGCGUGUAUGUCCUCCAAGAGCUUGAUACCAUCGUCUUGGGGUAUGCACUUGAGCAGUACCUCGGAGCUUGCGUUUUUCCGCAUGAGUUUUCCGUCGACCAGAAUGUAGUUCUUUGAUCGUCGGAUGAGACGCUCGUUCUCUGUUUUGUCCUGAAAACCUGUCCCGUCUGAGAUGUAUUUGAUGAACGGGAUACGCCAGUCGCGCCCACCGGUUGUCGGAGUGGCGUCAUCUAUGAGCAUUGCCUCGGUGGGUUGCUUGUCGACCAGAGGGGAGCUUACGCUCGGCUCACGGAUGUCCUGGACGAAAAUACCGCGCGGGAUUUGGGCCCGAGACGAGCCUAACUUUGACAACGCAUCUGCUGCUUGGUUCUUAUCCCGGACCACGUGGAUGUACUCUAUGCCAUAGAAGUUAGUUUCCCAUUUGCGAAUUUCUUUGCAGUAGAGAUCCAUCUUCUCGUGGGUUGCGUCCCACUCCUUGUUGAGCUGGUUGAUGACCAAAGCGGAGUCCCCGUAGACAUAGAGGCGCUUAACCCCCAGCUCAACGGCUAGUCGUACGCCAUGUAAGCAAGCUUCGUAUUCGGCGACAUUGUUUGACGCCGGAAAAAGGAUCCGAAGGACGUAGCGGAGUUUGUCCUUGUUUGGUGAUACGAACAAUAUCCCAGCGCCUGCACCGUUGAUGUUCAAGGACCCAUCAAAGAACAUUGACCAGUGGUCUGAGACAUCGGGAACGGACGGUUCGUUGAGAUCCGUCCAUUCGGCAAUGAAAUCGACCAGGGCUUGGGACUUGACAGUGGUGCGACUCUGAAACUCCAGGGAAAAUGGACAUAGUUCCAUUGCCCAUUUCACGAUUCUGCCAUUGGCGUCUUUAUUGCGCAGGAUGUCACCGAGGGGAAAGCUGGUUGUUACCAGGACUCGAUGGCCGUCGAAGUAGUGCUUCAGUUUUCUUGAUGUUAUCAGGAUGGCGUAUAUAAGCUUCUGUAUUUGUGGGUACCUGGCCUUGGAUUCGUUUAAAACUUCGCUUAUGAAGUAAACGGGCCUCUGGACCUUGAAGACGUGACCUAGUUCAUCUCGCUCGACCACUAUUGUCGUGGAAACAACUCUGUCGGUUGCAGCAAUGUAAAGGAGCAGGUCUUCAUUGGGCUGAGGCGCUGUGAGAACAGGCGGUGAAGUGAGGAAGGUCUUAAGCUGAGUGAACGCAGCGUCGGCGUCCUCUGUCCAGGAGAAUUUUUCUGACGCUUUCAAUAGUUUGAAAAAGGGGAGGCCUUUUUCUCCCAGCCUUGAGAUGAAACGACUGAGGGCGGCCAUGCAUCCGGUUAGCUUCUGAAUAUCCUUGACGUUCUUCGGUGGUCGCAUGUCGAGUACGGCUUUGACUUUUGAAGGGUUUGGUCGUAUGCCGUCGCAACUGACGACGUUGCCGAGCAGUAGACCGGAAGGAACGUCGAAGAUGCAUUUCUUGGGGUUGAGCUUCCACUUGUACCUAUUGAGAGCCUUGAAGGUUCGGUCUAAGUUGUCGAUUAGGGUGCUCGCAUCCCUUGUUUUUACGACCACGUCGUCCACAUAGGCCUCGACGAGGUCGUCGCGAAUCUCGUCGUGGAGGCAUUGCUGGAUGGCCCUUUGAUAAGUGGCCCCGGCGUUUUUAAGUCCGAAAGACAUGGUAGUGUAACAGUAUGCGCCGAAAGGUGUGAUGAAGGAUGUUUUGAUCUGAUCUUCUUCUUUUAACGAGAUCUGGUGAUAACCAGAGUAGCAAUCUAGAAAGGAGAGGAGUUCGCAUCCGGCCGUUGAGUCGACCACCUCGUCGAUGCGAGGAAGACCAAAAGGAUCUUUAGGACAGUGUUUGUUGAGAUCGGUGUAAUCAACGCACAUUCUCCAUUCAUUAUUCUUUUUGCGUACAAGAACCGGAUUGGCGAGCCAAUCGGGAUGAUACACCUCUUUUAUGAAUCCGGCUGCUAGAAGCCGUGUUAUUUCUGUCCUAAUAGCCUCCUUUUUGUCACGAGCGAACCGUCGCAGUUUUUGCUUGAUUGGUCUUGCGGUCUUCGAGACGUUUAAGGAGUGCUCGAUCAGGUUUCGUGGGACGCCGGGCAUGUCUGCGGGUUUCCAUGCGAAAACGCUCAAGUUGUCCCUUAGAAACCUGACGAGCGCGUCUUCCUAUUUUGGAUCCAGGUUAGCCCCGAUGAGGGCUGUCUUCUCGGGGUUGCCCUCGACCAGCUGCACUUCUUUGUACUCCUUGGAUUUCGAAUUCUUUCUGGCUGUCUCCUGCUCAGGUAAUCGGAGCUGGUCGGGGGGCAGCUGUGCGGCUUGGUUUGCUGUUUCCGCCAUGCGGAUUGAGAGGUCAAUUGCCUCGGUGAUCUUGAAACUUUCUUCUUCGCAGGUGUAUGCAGUGUAGACGUUGCCUCUGACGGUCAGGACACCUUUCUCCGUGGGCAUCUUAAGCACUAGGUAUGAGUAGUGCGGGACUGCCAUGAACUUUGUCAGAGAUGGGCGGCCCAGUAUGGCGUGGUAGGUCCCGUCGAAGUCCGCGACUACGAAGUUGAUGAACUCCGUCCGGAAGUGAUCGGGUGUGCCGAAUUGGACAGGCAAUGUUAUCUGUCCGAGGGGAACCGAACUUUGACCUGGCAGGACCCCCCAGAAUUGGGCGUCGUAAGGUUUUAGUUGCGCCGGUGAUAUCUUGAGGGCGGGCAGGCUGUUGCGGAAGAGGAUGUCAAUGGAGCUUCCCUCGUCCACGAGCACGCGCUCGAAUCUGAUGCUAUUGAUGCAGGGAUCAAGAAUCAGUGGGAAACGACCCGGCUCUGGGAUAGCGGCCCACUGGUCCUUCCUGCUGAAUGCGAUCUCCCUGUGGGACCAGGCGGGAAAUUUCGGAUCUGCGAUCAGCCCGUCCGUGCUGUCUAUGUUGAGGCAGGCUCUCUUCAACAGCUUUCUUUCUCGCUUGGACUCAGUGGAGACCUUGCCCCCGAAAAUGGAGUGGACCACGUCGGUGGGGCUGACGUAUUGGUGUCGGGGGUCCCUGUCUUGGUCUUCAUCCUCAUCUUCGUGGUCGUGCCCGUCGCGUUUGUUACUUUUCUUGGCGGUGUCUUCUUGAGCGGCCCGCCGUGUAUAAAUAUUUUUGAGGACGCGGCACUCUUCCAUGGUAUGGUUAGACUUUGGGUGUAGCUGGCACGGUCCCUUCAACGUUUUGUUGUAGUCGUCUUGGUAGUCCCGUCGUCCAUUGGGACGUUUGACCGUGUUUACUUCGUGGUCGUAUUCGCGAGGGCGCUUUCCUCUGAAGUCGUCGCGGCUGUCGCGCCGCCGAUCCCAACCCUCUCGGUGAUCGCGGUUGUCGGAGCGACGGUGAUUUCUGUUGUCGUAGCGGCCACGACCGUCAUCUCGCCGGGAGGGCUGGUCGGUGCCUCUCGCAUCGUCUCGGAUUAGUUUUUCUGCGUCAUCAGCGUCGGCAUAGUUUUUAGCCGUGGCGAGGAGCUCUGCUACCGUUGAUGGACGCUUACGCAACAGCUUGUUCCUCAGUGCUUCAUGGAAACGUAAGCCCUUGAUAAAGGCUGAUAUGGCCUCGUCAUGAGAAAUCUUCGGGAUUUUGAGACGCAUAUCCGAGAAUCGUCGGAUGUAAUCGCGCAGAGGUUCAUUCUUCCUGUCUCUUAUCCUUUCAAGGUCAUACUUGUUUCCGGGCUGCUCGCACGUGGCGAUGAAGUUGUCAAUGAAAGCCUGUCGUAGCUCUUCCCAAGAGUCGAAGGAGUCCUCGGGCAAGCCGAGAAGCCACUGAUGACCAGCCUGGUCGAGGACUACGGGGAAGUAGUUAGCCAUGACGUGCUCAUCUCCUGCCGCUGAUCGGAAGGCGAUUUCGUAGAGGGUGAUCCAGUUCUCUGGAUUUUCCUUGCCGUCGUAUUUUUUAAGUUUUUCGAGCUUGAAAUUUCUGGGCCACACGACCUGGCGGAGGUGUGAGGAGAACUGCCUUAGGCCCGGAGGACCGUGGGUCGCAUCGUACUCGAUGCGGCGCAGGUUUUCGUGGACUGCUCUCUCUGCGGCGCGCCUGUUGAUGCGGUCCCGGGCAUCUUUGGGAGGGAUGUUGUGGCGGAGAUCCCUGUGUUGAUCUUCUUCUUCCUGGCCGCGUACGCGGUUCUGCUGGCGGCGGCCAUCGGCGUCUCGACCACCAUCGUCGCGCCGUGAGUCCCCUCGACGGUUGUCGGGGGAGCGGCUGCGGCGACGCCCGCUGGGCGAGGCCCGGCUACGAUGAGUCUGGUCGGAGGCGGCUUCCGUAUAAGAGACGUCCUGGGCUCUCUUGAGCAGAGUUGCUGUCUGUCCCAUCGCGGCGAUCAGGUGUGCUCGGAUACUGGUCCGGACUCCCUGGCAUUCGGGUGUAUCAGGAAGCCGAUCCAGGUUGGCCAUGGCGACAGCCACGUUGGCGCUUGGCGUUUUGUAGACCGGCUGGUCCCCGACCAUGUCAAAGGCAUCGUUGAGGUUACCCGGUGGCGUCUGUUGUUGCUCGUCCGCACGCCGUCGGGCGCGAUCGGCGUUACGCUGUUCGCGGAGUUGCCUCUGGUCGUCUGUUUCUCCGUCAACAACCGGUUCGUCGGCGCUGAUAUUGAAUACAAUAUCCCCUCGCCGGGGGGGGAAUAUCGGGAACCGGUCGAAACCCGGAGGGUGUGAAGGGAAAUCCAGGUCGUAGUCCUCGUCUUCGGUGUUCACAACCUCGGUGGGGACGGAGCCGGUGCUUGAGUUGGUGCUGGACACCUGGCCGUCCCGUAGCUCUCGGAUGGUCACCAUGUUGACGUGGUGACGAUUGUUCCUUGUCGGCGACCAGCCCGCUUUGCUGAAAACGGAUUGGACAUGCUGUGAGUAAACAGAGGCCGAGUUGUUCAGGCCGCAAGGAUAGUCUUCCUUUUUGAGCUCGACGGAUCGUCCUGCGGGGGUUGAGGUUAUCGUCAGGGACGUUCCCAGCCGUUCGUGUGUAGCGACACGAGUUGGCCGGCGGAAUUUCGAAAAAUCCGCUCGAGCGGCUUGGUCGGGCUGGCGUAGAACUCCAUCUAUUAGUUGGGAGACUUCGAGUAGCUUGGAGUCAGCGCGAUCGAGCGCUUGGAGGAGGUCCGAGCAGUCGAUCUCCUUUCCCUUGUAGAGCGGGAACGGUGGUCGGGAGCUUGGUGCCGUCAUGCGUGUGGUCGGAGACGGCGUGAUCUCAGAUUGGAUCUGGAUCUCUUUCGGAACCGUGGUCGCGAAACCGCCGCUGCACGUCGUCCACGUGAUCUGGCCGACGGUGAACGUGAGGCCUUCGGGCACGGUCGCCGAAGCUGGGAUCGUGACCAUCUUGUUCGCCGGAAAAGUUGUACGCACACCCCCUACCUGGCGCGCCACUGUCGACGAAAGCUGGUCGGCAGUCUACCUUGGGGUAUACCCACGGUAGUAGUUUAUCGGUAGACGGUGCGCAAACUACGAACUCGAUGGUGACGCAAGACACGGACAAGCUUUUUAUCCAGGUUCGGCCGCCGAGUUGGCGUAAUACCUACGUCCUGCGUCUGGUUGUAUUGGAUUGUGUUGAGAGAUAAUCUGUCCUAGGGGGGUCCCUUGCCCCUCCUUAUAUAGUCUGGAGGGCAGGGUUACAGAUCUAGAAACUAAUCCUAGCCGGUUACAAUUGCCAUAGAUAAUUCGAUAUCAAUUCCUAUUCUAACCGACUAGAAUCCUGCUUGAUCUCCACGUCUUGUUUCCUUGCGCGAAACUCGGGCUGUCGGAUCAAGCCUUGAACUCGUCUCGUAGUGGGCCAAGCUUCCUGGCUGAAGUCUAGCCGUAAGGGUAUAGGGGUUUAUACCCCCACAGAUGCCCAUUUGAUGUCAUGGGAGUUUUGAUUGGCUUGCAAUCUUGCAUCUUGAAUCUCUUGAGAAGAUCUUAAGUGUACUUUUCUUGAGAGAUGAAAACCCCUUCCUUCAUUUGCUUGACUUGAAACCCGAGGAAGAAGGAUAGCUCGCCAAUCAUGGUCAUCUAGAACUCCUUGGACAUCAAAUCACCGAACUCCUUGCAAAAUUCUUCAUUUGUUGAGCCAAAUAUGAUGUCAUCAACAUACACUUGGCCAAUGAAGAUUUCUCCAUUGAUCUUCUUAAUGAAUAGUGUUAUGUCGACCUUCCCGAUCUUUAAGCCCUUUUGAGGAAGUCACUUAGCCUCUCAUACCAUGCUCUAGGAGCUUGCUUGAGACCAUAGAGCACCUUGGACAACCGGUACACAUGCUUGGGUACCUAGGAUCUUCAAAACUAGGGGGUUGCUCAACAUAGACAAGCUUAUUAAUACAACCAUUUAGAAAUGCACUUUUCACAUCUAUUUGAAAUAGUUUGAUGUUAUGGUUAGAAGCAUAUGCAAGAAAGAUACGUAUAGCUUCAAAUCUUGCAACCGGUGCAAAGGUUUUACCAAAGUCAAAACCUUCCACUUGUGAAAAGCCUUUCACCACAAGUCUUGCCUUGUUGCGCACCACCUUGCCUUGAUCAUUUUUCGUGUUCCAGAAGACCCACUUUGCUCCUAUUACUCUUGCAUCUUUAGGUCGCUCUUUGAGGGUCCAUACUUGAUUACGAGAGAAGUUGUUCAACUCCUCUUGCAUGGUGAUGAUCCAAUCCGCAUCGCGAAGAGUUUCCUCUAUAGUUUUGGGUUCCUCUUCAAGAGACACAAAAGUGUGAUGUUCAAUAAAUAAAGCAUGUUUAGAACGUGUAGUAACACCACAUGAUGGACUCCCGAUGAUGAGAUCUUGAGAGUGAUCUCGAAGAAGGUGUGAUGAUCUUCUUUGCACCACUUGAGGAGCCGGUUAGGGAGCAUCAACAUCUUGUGCUUGUGCCACCGCUUGUUCAUGAGUGACUUGUGAGUCUUCAUGAGCGUCUCUCACAUCCUUGUCAUCAUCUUAUGGCACAUGUGAGGAGGAUGGCUCAUCGAUGACUUGCACCUUGCCAUCCUCCUCCUUAGGCUUGAUGUCUUCCAUCAGAAUAUUCUUCAAGACUUCCCUCAAUGGUUCACCAUCUACAUCACCAAGAUUAUCACUUGCUCCUUGGGAGCCAUUAGAUUCAUCAAAUUCAACAUCAAAAGUUUCUUCAACCAUGUUUCUGGCAUGGUUAAAGACUCUAUAAGCCUUGGACUUUGAUGAAUAGCCAACCAAGUAACCAAUGUCUCAUCUUCUUUGAAACUUCCCCAAGUGUUGGUGCUUCUUGUAGAUAUAGCACUUGCACCCAAACACUCUAAAGAAUGAGACAUCAGGCUUCUUCCCAUUGAGCAAUUCAUAUGGUGUCUUCUCUAGGAACUUGUGAAGAAAGAGUCGGUUUGAAGCAUAGCAUGCGGUGUUGAUUGCCUCGGCUAACAUCUUCUCCGGAGUGUUGUACUCAUCAAGCAUAGCUCUUGCCAAGGUUAUCAAGGUCCAGUUCUUUCUUUCUACAACCCCAUUUUGUUAUGGUGUGUAUGUCGAGGAGAACUAUAUGAUUCCAACUUCAUCACAAUAGUCUUCAAUAUUGGUAUUGUCAAAUUAUUUGCCAUUGUCACUCCUAAUCUUCUUGAUCUUGACAUCGAAUUGAUUUUGUGCCUUAUUUGUAAACUUCUUGAAUAUUGAUGCAACUUCAACCUUGUCUUACAAGAAGAAUGUCCAUGUGUACUGAGAAUAGUCAUCCACUAUUACCAAGCAAUAUUUAUUCUCACUAAGACUAGCAUAUGUAGUAGGUCUAAACAAAUCCAUGUGCAAUAGCUCAAGAAAUCUUAAGGUAGAGAGAUAGAUCUUGGUUGGAUGAGUGUUUGCCACUUGCUUGCUGGCUUGACAUGCACUACACAACUUGUCCUUCUCAAACUUGACAUCUUUCAAGCCUCUUGUCAACUCCUUCUUCAACAACUUUUUGAGUGUGCCCAUUCCAACACGAGCUAGCCUCCUAUGCCAUAGCCAACCAAGUGAAGUCUUGAUGAAUAGACAUGUCUUGAUGUUUGCAUCUUUGGAGGAGAAAUCAACAAUGUACAAAUUGUUGUAGCGGAAGCCUUUGAAUACCAUCUCAUUGUCAUUCACCUUGGUCACUAUCGCUUCUUUCUCAAUGAAUAGGCAUUGGAAACCAAGAUCACAAAAUUGUCCAACCGAAAGCAAGUUAAAACUUAGAGAUGAAACAUAGAGCACAUUGGUGACAGAGUUGUCAUUGGAUAUAGCCAUCUUUCCCAAAUCCUUGACAUUGCCUUUUGAAUUGUCACCAAAUGUGAUAUUCUCUUGAUUGUUCACAUCUUCAUUGAGUGAGGUGAACAUUUGGGGAUCUCCGGUCAUAUGUUGGGUGCAACCACUAUCAAUUACCUAAUGUGAUCCACCGGUCUUGUAGUUCACCUUCUGAUCACCCUUAGCCAUCAGGCAUAGGUGUGUAGAGGAUGAGGAUGAAGGCGAUGGUGGUGGACAUGAAGCAUCAAUUGCAAUUGUGGCCACCUUCUCAUCAUCACUAGCAUCAUUGGAGGAGUCACCACAUGAGCUCUCAAUAUUAGUGAGCCAAUCACUAACAAUGUAUGCCUUGCCAUUCUUCUUCUUGUGGUACUCCUUCUUUCCACCCUUCUUCUUGAAAGGCUUCUUUUCAUUCUUCUCAUUGUCACUUGAGUCAUCUUUGUCCUUGUUUUUUUCUUGUAUUUAUCCUUCUUAGGCUUAGGACAUUGAUGGGCAAGAUGACCAAGUUCACCACAAUUGUAGCAAUCCAUCUCGGAGAUGGGCUUUCUCUUGCUACUUGUGAAGAACUUCUUUUGGAGUCGAAGUUGACACCAUUCUUGUUGAGCUUCUUAAGCAUCUUGGUGGUUCUCCUCACCAUGAGAGCAAUGGUGGCAUCAUCAUCGCUUGAGGUUGAGGAUUCUUCAUUUUUUUGAGCGACCGUUGGGAAUUUAACUUCGCCAUGAAAAAUAGCCCCAACUUUAGAGUUAAAACUUUGGACUCAGAAUUAUAAUUUUUGUAACAAAGUUUACCUGCAAAGAGAAAAAUAGGGCGAAGAUGUAACUUUGACUUCGUCGGGAAAAAUCAACUUUGCUGCAGAAAACUUUGUCUUCACCAAAGAAGGAAAGAUUAAAGCAAGGCUAAGCGAAGACAAGAAUUUGGCUUCGCUUGACAAUUGAAGAUAGAAAGAAGAUGGAGCAAAAAUCGACUAAGUCCAAAAUACAAAGCCCGCCAGAAGAUUGGUUGACAAAAUUGAAGAAUGAAGACUUAGAUAUAGAAAAAGACCACUUCGCCCUUGUAGUUGAGAAGGGUUGUAAUUGUUUGAGUGAGGGGUAAAAUGGUCAUUUUGUGUAAAAUAUGAAGGUCAGGGCCCUAUAAAUACCCCACUGACAUGUACAGUAGACCCGGAGAAUGAAUACAAUUUUUAUUUGUGUUUAACUUUUGAUGUUUGUGUAAUGUUUGCUUGGCAUAAAAGUUACACCAACAGCGACCAAAAUACUUUUUUGAAUUUAACCUUCAUGUUUCGGAGUACGUACGUGGUUGGUCACGAGGCAGGGGGCGGGUCUUCUUGUGGCGUGGUUGGCCACACGGAGUUUUAUUUUUAUUUUUAUUUUAUUUUGAGAAAAUGUGUAGCUCACGGAGUACUAUUUGUAGGUCGGACGCACUUUUUUGUUCAAUUGUGGCCCAUGAAGUGAUUUUUGGGCCGAAUAGCCCAUUCAACCGUGCCCUAACCCUAGGCCGCUUAUAAAAACCUAGCUCCAUCCGAUUCCCAAACCCUAAGACGCAGUCGGCCGCCGCACACCGGGAGAAGCCGACGCUCCGCCACCGUAUCCGCAGAUCAGCGGCGAGCCGUAACCACGCCACACUGCUUGCCGCCCGACGAGGUAUUCUGCCGCUCGCGCGCGCUUCUCUUCCUUCUCUUUUCGUUGUGCUUUGAGCUUGUUCGUUUGAUGCGCUCCGAGCUUGUUCGUUUGAUGCCCAGAUCUACUAGUUUGUCGUCUAUGUGUGAUGAGCUGAGCCGAUUCAUGCACUGGAUUUCUAAUCAAGUGUUGUUUCCGUCUCCGCUACCUUUAUUUAGUGUCUAUGUAUGAACAUGGGUGCAGUUUGCAAUUGAUUUGUCGAGCCAUAAAUUAUAACCGUUUCGUUGUUCUAGAUUAGAUCCCGAUUCUGAUCUUUGAUAUUACGUGGCUGAGGCACUUCAACUCUGUUUUAUGUGUAUGAACUGAGCCGAUUCAUGCGCUGAGUAAUAAUCAAAGUUUUGCUUCCGCCUCCUCAUCUGCCUUUAGUAUGUACUCCGUAUAUAAACUUGAUUGCAGUUUGCAACUGAUUCUCAGCCAUAGAUUAUCACUGUUGCGUUGUUCAUUAGAUCCAGUUUCUGUGGUAUUAUGUGGGUGGGGUAGUUCCUCUUUGGAUUUUUCCUAUCCUUGAAAUUGUUUGAUUACUGGUUUAUUCCCAUGUUUGUUUAUUUCUAACUAUUUUUAGAUGAUGAUUUCUAACUGUUUUUAUCUGCUAAUUUUGAUGUAAGCAGCAGGGUAACAGUUCCCUUCAGCCAUGGGUAAGGAGAAGACUCACAUCAACAUUGUGGUCAUUGGCCAUGUCGACUCUGGCAAGUCGACCACCACUGGCCACCUGAUCUACAAGCUUGGCGGUAUUGACAAGCGUGUGAUCGAGAGGUUCGAGAAGGAGGCUGCGGAAAUGAACAAGCGUUCAUUCAAGUACGCCUGGGUGCUCGACAAGCUUAAGGCUGAGCGUGAGAGAGGUAUCACAAUUGAUAUUGCGCUGUGGAAGUUCGAGACCACCAAGUACUACUGCACUGUCAUUGAUGCCCCUGGACACCGUGACUUCAUCAAGAAUAUGAUCACUGGUACUUCCCAGGCUGACUGUGCUGUUCUUAUCAUUGACUCCACCACUGGUGGUUUUGAGGCUGGUAUCUCCAAGGAUGGCCAGACCCGUGAGCAUGCUCUCCUUGCUUUCACACUUGGAGUCAAGCAGAUGAUUUGCUGCUGCAACAAGGUAUAAUUCCAGGAAUUUCUAUCUAGUCUGGUUUAUGAUCUGAGAUGCCUGUAAAUAUGUGCUUCAAUAGUCUAGGCUGCACUCAAUUAUACUGCAUUCAAGUUGAAUACUGCAUUUGUGUUCUGAUAUUAUAGUUAAUGUUAGUUGUAUAAUAAGUUUACAUUGAAUAAGCCAUCUGCUUGCUACAUGUUUAUGUACGAUUGCAUUUUUUUUCUAAUGUUGGUUGCAUAACAAUUUUGAUAAAAUGAAACAUUGAUUGUUGCAUCGAAUAAGUCAUCUGCUUCUUACAUAUUUUUAUUAUUUUUUCUGGAUUUUUAGUUACUUAGUUUGCUACUUUACUUUGUCAAUUAUUAAUGCAACACUGAUUGCUUUGAUUGAAUAAGCCAUCUGCUUUAUAGAUGUUUAUGUAUGAUGGCAAUUUAUCUUCGUUACUUUGCAUAAUUUAAUAUGAUUUUCCAGGAUAACUUCUUCAAUAGGUGAUGUAAUUUUUCAAUUCCACCUUAAUUUAGAAAUUUUCUGUAGUUGUUGGAAUGCUUGCAAUGCUUAUGUAAUUAAAUGAUAUGGGUUUGCAUAACUGCCAUCAUAUGAUUGCAGUCGUUAUUUUACUUUUGUCAAUUAGUAGGAUUUGUUGGCAUGCACCUGUUGAGGUCAGUAUUUUUUAUAUACGUCAGGUGCCCCCCCAACAAAUAUCCUUCCUUGAGCAAGUGUAGUUGACCAGUAAAUGUUUUUGUAUUUUUACUGUUUGCUUGCUGUUUAGGUAAUCAAUCAGCUGAUGAUAUUGUUUGGGUUUUGCUGUGUUACAGAUGGACGCCACCACACCCAAGUACUCGAAGGCCCGUUAUGAUGAGAUUGUGAAGGAAGUCUCUUCCUACCUGAAGAAGGUUGGAUACAACCCAGACAAAAUCCACUUUGUUCCCAUCUCUGGUUUUGAAGGUGACAACAUGAUUGAGAGGUCCACCAACCUUGACUGGUACAAGGGCCCAACCCUGCUUGAGGCUCUGGACUUGAUCAAUGAGCCAAAGAGGCCUUCAGACAAGCCACUGCGUCUCCCCCUUCAGGACGUGUACAAGAUUGGUGGUAUUGGAACUGUUCCUGUCGGGCGUGUUGAGACUGGUAUCAUCAAACCUGGUAUGGUUGUUACCUUUGGUCCUAGUGGCCUUACAACUGAGGUUAAGUCUGUCGAGAUGCACCACGAGGCUCUCCAGGAGGCCCUUCCUGGUGACAAUGUUGGCUUCAAUGUUAAGAAUGUUGCUGUGAAGGAUCUGAAGCGUGGGUAUGUGGCCUCCAACUCCAAGGAUGACCCUGCCAAGGAGGCUGCUAGCUUCACCUCCCAGGUCAUCAUCAUGAACCACCCUGGGCAGAUUGGCAAUGGCUACGCCCCAGUGCUGGACUGCCACACCUCACACAUUGCUGUCAAGUUUGCUGAGCUUGUUACCAAGAUUGAUAGGCGAUCUGGCAAGGAGCUUGAGAAGGAGCCCAAAUUCCUCAAGAACGGUGAUGCUGGUAUGGUGAAGAUGGUUCCCACUAAGCCCAUGGUGGUGGAGACCUUCUCUGAGUAUCCUCCUCUUGGUCGCUUUGCUGUCCGGGACAUGAGGCAAACGGUGGCUGUUGGAGUCAUCAAGAGCGUGGAGAAGAAGGACCCAACUGGAGCCAAGGUGACCAAGGCUGCCGCCAAGAAGAAAUGAGGUGUCUGGCUGAUCCUGUGUUUUCUUGAGGGAUACCUAGUUGGAACUUUAAAUAUUGUCAUUCCUGUUAUUGCGCGAGCAACUAAACUGUGCUGGCAAUGUUUGUCUGGUCGAUUUAGUACUGUUAUUUUUGUUAAAACCAGGGUGCUUGACACCAAUUUUCUGUUAUUUUUGGAUCGAACAUCGGGUGUUAGCCAAUGGUUUUGAGUUUUGUUACUCUCGUUAUGUUUGCCUGUUUACAUAGCUGUUUCUAAAUAGGUGAUGAUUCGCUCGUCUGUGCCUACUUUUGUAGUGUUUGCCUGUUAACCUAUCUAGAAAUAUUGUUUUGUCUACGCUUUUAAUUGUGAAAAGCAAUUUUUGCUGAUUUUUUUUGCCUAAGAUCUUUUUAAUUUUCCUAUGGCUCAAAGCUUUUCGAAAAUGCCUUGUAGUCGUUGAGAAUUGUUUGACCACUUUUUCGAAGUAGUCAUAGUUAUUUUACAAGAUUGCAAUUGUAAAACAUGGGACUGAAAAACAUAGGAGGACAGUAUAUUGUGGGUCUUAGAUGGGCACAUGGGAAAUUGACAUGAACUUGGCAGUCCUUUUGCAUGGAUCCUACGCGCGAGCCAGGUCGAAUAGAUGUUUCAUGCCCGGAAAAUUCUUACUGAAUUUCUUGAGGUGCUUUCCUAUAAAUCAAGGGCGUCUACAGACUAAAGUAUAAAAUCCCUAGGAUUAUUGAAUACUGUAUUUUUGUAUUUUUUGUUAUAAAAAUUCUCUAUUCUAAUUUCUAAAGGAUGCCUAAAUAUUCUCCGUUGUCUUUCAAGAAAAUAAGUCCUUAAUCUUUAACUAGCAGACAUGCUCAUACGUCUUAGCAGGAGAAAAAGAGUUACGGCAAUUUAAUUUAUAAAGAUGCUAAACUUAAUUUAUAAAGGUGCUACUUUUGAUGUGCUGAACGGUUAUUACAGUAAUCUGAAAUAAAUGGUCUUGUUAAUGCUUUACAUACUCCCUCCGUUUAUAAUAGUACCAUACUCCCUCCGUUUAUGAAACAGGCUCGUUAAUGCAAGCACGGAUGGUAAUAUUGCGUACUCGGUCUAUGGAAACAUGCAAUUCUAAUAGUACCAUGUUUUAGUAUAUCAUGUUUGAUCAAUUAUAGAUUAAAAAACUAUAAAGAUUUAGAUAUUAAAUAAAUAUUAUUAGAUCAAAUAUGAAAUAUAUUUUUAAUCAAAUGUUGACUUUUUUAUCUAGCACGUAACCCAUUUCUUAUCUUUUUAUAAAAUUUAAAAUUUAUACUUUUUUAUAACUAUGAUAUCUAUAAUAUAAGUUAAUAUCAGCAAUAGUACGAUUCGAUAUUAAAUUAAAAUAUAAUAUUGAUAAAAUUUCUUUCUUUCAUUGUAAACACAAAUCCAAUGUGACCAAUAAUACGAUUCCGUAUUGAAUUAAAAUACAACAUAACUUUCUCUCUCUCUUCCAUGUCACCAAAAAUCCAAUGUGACACUGCAUAAGACGACUUAUAAUACUGCUUACACGGAUCAAUAUACUUCUUGCCCUAAGGAAAGAUAAUUCCCAUACGUCUUAAAAUUACUCCUCCCUCCAUCACGACAUGAUACGUAGUAUUUUGAUCAGAAGAAAAAUAGAUUUUAAAAUCAUAAAAUAGAUUUCAACCUUUAAUUUUUAAAAUAUGUGGUUAUUUUUUAAAAAUAAUAAUAUUAAAUUUAGAGAUAUUCUUAGUAUACAAAGAUAUCGAUACAAGUUUUAUCUCUGUAUAAAUUUAUAUUAUAUAUAACUAGGAUGGUUAUUACUUCUUUUGAGAAGAGAGAUAAUUAUGAUUUAGCAUUUGCAAAAUUGGUGACUAGUGUCGGUAAUUUUCAGUGGACAAGCACAUGGGCCACCAGGAAUCGAUCUCAGCUCUAAUGCUACAGCAGGAAGCACCGUCCAGAAAGUGAACCGCCCCUUGUGCUUGUGCUUGUGCUUGACGCUCACUACGCCGUUUGGGCCUAACCCAUCCUACCACUCAUGACGACUUUGGGCCUCACUGCACCGUUUGUGCCGUCUCCUCUGCGCCUGUCUUUUUUUUUUGUUUUUUGGCCUUUUUAAAAAAGUUUCUCACAAAUAUGCCCCGGUGGUUUGAAUUUGGAAUAUGGACCCAGGGCUUGACGCUGUAAUAUAUGGCGUCAAGUUUGUACAUGUUGUUUGCAUCGCCUAUGUGGCCAGCGUGGUGGUGACGUGGACACCAGUUUGGCGCCGUGCAUCACAGCAUUAGGCUUGACGCCAGGGAUCAUGGCGUCAAGUUUGGCGCCACAUGCAUGACGUCAUGCUAUCGAAUAAAACCGGCCCCUACCCUUUCAUCCUUAUUCUUUCUUCUUCCAGCACCUUUCUUCUUCCUCGCUCUCGGGUGAGCUCUCGGCCGAUCGUUGCCGCUGAGCUUAGCUGGCCAGCCGAACUCCCGGCCUCUGCUCCCCUCGGUGGCCCGGCGUUGCUUCCCUCAGCGGCUCGAUCGGCGGCUCGUGCUUGCUCCCCACGUGGCCGGAAGCUUUGGCAUUAGUGAAGUAAGCUUCGUUAUUUUUUUAUUUGGUUAUUUUAAAAAGUUUAAUUAAUGUGUUGUUAGUUCUUUAUGUAAAAGCAUUGACAUUUAGUAUAUGUAGAUUGUUAGUAACUUUAUUUAGUUGGAUAUUUAUACAAUAAGUAUGCAGGCUUGGCGCCAUGACCUGUGGCGUCAAGCUUAAUGAAUUGACCGGUGGCGUCAAGAUUGACGCCACGAUCCAUGUCGUCAAGCAUUUGCGACACAUCAGCCAAAACUGCCAUGUGUGUAGACAAUUUAGCGCCAUCAGUGCUAGCGUUAAGUAGUGUAUCCUUAAUUCCAUUGAUGACAACGCCAAGCCCUGGGUCCAUAUUUCAAAUUCAAACCAACAAGGGCAUAUUUGUGACAAACUUUUCCAAAAAGGGCAAAAAAAAACAAAAAAGUAUGCCUCCGCGCUCUCGCUCCUCCACCGGUGCGUGCUCGCAGCUCGCUGCUCCGCCGUGCCGGCUCCUUCGUCACGGCACCAGCGCCACCACCGCCCAACGGCAGCUAGCGCUCGCCAAAGCCGCGUGUUCUCAGCCACCGCCGAUGGACGUGCGGCCUGCGACACGAUGCGGCACCGUACCGGCAUGGGGGCCACCACGGAGCGCGAGCGUGGUAGUGUCAUGCGCACAGAGGUGACGCGAGGGUGGACCUUCUUGUCGAGUUGACGAUAGGGAGCUGGUGGCCUGGCGCGGUGGAUCCGCCACGGAACAGCUUGCUUGGGGGCGUGCACAGCUUCUACCCCUGGACGGCCUAAUACCCGUGCCUGACAUCAAAGUUAUUCGAACCGGACCGAAGAUUGAACCGGUGAGGCCGUCAGUUCAAUGGUUCAUUGGUCCAACCGUUUGAACCGCCGGUUCAAUUGUUUUGAACCGAUUAAUAUAAUAUGAUUUAAUUAAUAAUUAACAUUAGAGGAGUGUUUGAAGAAUCUACUGUGUGUGGAAACCCAGAAAACAAAAAAAAAAG